UUAUUUUUUGCUUGUAAAGGAGUUAAUUGUGUGUGAACUUGGAGCUACUCACUUCGAAACCACUUAAUGUUCUUCAGAAGUUUGUUCAUUAAUUCUUGGCCCCGACGUGCGUACGUGCGUGCGUAUGGAUGAACCAUGAUGAACAACGCCCCAAAGAAAGAUUCUUCCCUGGAAAGAGAAUACUACCAACCACACAGUCUGAAAGCCAAAGGCAAUUCAGUAGAGGAAAGGGACACGAGAACAUCUGGUUAAUCUAUUAUAGGCACUGAAAUAUCUUCGAUUUUCAUCAUCGUCGAUGGAUCAUCGCCACAAGCUGGAGCGGAGUCCGGAUGAUCCAUCUGUGUUUCCAAGUCCCAACACGCCCGCCCGCAGACCCGAACAACGCUAGCUAGCACUCAACCCACUCAUGAUCCUUCGAUCAUCACAUACCUGACAAUCUAGACUCUAAUUAACAAAGCAACGAGACUGGGCCGGAGAUGCAUGCGUCCAUGGGGAUGGCGUCUAUCCGGCCGGCGAGGGGGCGCGAGAUCCGCGUCGACGGGCGGAUCUCAGGCCCUGAAGCAGGCGGCGAGGUGGAAGUGGAGGUGGCCCGAGGAGGAGCCGUGGUGGUGGUGGCCGCCGGAGACGAGGCGGCCGGAGCCGGAGCCGCCGUGCCGCUGGCCGUCGAUGACGGCCUGCACGCGGCGGAAGUUGUCGACGCCGCAGGGGAUGGUGAUGGCGCCCUGCUGCUGGAAGCCGUACUCCUCCUCGGCCUCCUUGAGGAGGCCCACGAAGAGCGGGUGCUUGAGGUAGCCCACCGGCACCACGAACCGCUCCUCCUCCUCCGCGCGGCCGCCCGGCCCCACCACGCGCACCGCCAUGCACCCCUUGGGCGGCAUCGACGAGCCGCCGCUCGAGCCCCCCGCCGCCGACGAGUGCUGCUUCCUCAGCAGGCUCACGCCCAUAUAUCUUGAUCUUCACAACACCCUACCCUGUACCAAGAAAGAAACGCUCUCUCGCUCGCUAGACCACGACGGCGACCGGCGUCCGACGGCGGGCGUCAGAGCGCGGGGCGGCGGCACGCUGGACGCUGCUGCAUGGCGGCCGUCGACUGGGUAGCUAGGGUUGGUGGCGGUGGUGGUGCUUGGCCCGUCGGGGUUCCCGGUCUCGGCUACGGCGCCUGUGCCUGCCUGCCUGCCUCGAUCUGCCCGUGCGUGCCCUGCGCUGGGUGCGUCUGGUCCGGGAGGGGGCGGGGGCGCGUGCGUAUAAGAGGCGGGGGGCGCGGGCUGCUGCGGUUUGUUGCCAUCCGCCGCUCCCUUUUCCAUACCGUAUUCCGUUUAUCUUUCCACAAGGUAUAUCGAUAACCUUUUUUUUCGGGGAAUAUCGAAAAUCUUUGCCCAUAAAUGUGGCACAGUACUGCAGUAUCCGCGCGAAAAUGAUCUCGUGAUUAAUCCCCACGUUUAUUGUUCAACGAUAAUAAUAUAUUUGCAUUUCCUGUUUUACGCCGAUCCCGUAUAUUUAGGGCUUAUUUAGUUGAGAUUCGAAAUCUUAUCUCGCCGUGUUGGGCGCAUUUAUUUCUCAAGAUAAGGUAAUUCUACACGUGACUACUAUUGUUUUCGUUUUGCUAGCUCAUGCUGGGACUGGCGUACACAUUUCUGCGGAAAAAAGAUUAGCGUAUUCAGAAAGAUUAGCGUUUUGAAUACGCUUUGAAUACGGGGAGAGGGGCAUCUGAUCCCCCCAGGGUAUAGCUAGCCGGGCUACUGUGUGUGUAGCAGCUGGAGGAAUGCCGUGUGUUGCAUCGACAGUCUUUUUUUGUGUGUGCGAGAGGGAUCUCUAGUGCCGUGUGUCGCAUACUCUCUUGACACUUCGGUUGGUGAUGCUACUGCUAGGGUAGAGGCUAGAGCUUGGUGGGCACUAGACACGGGCGCAGGUCGGUCCAGCCCGGUGAACAACUGUAUACACCAGCACCUAGUGCGACAAAACAUUACUAUUUCUUCCUUCCGUUCUAAAUUAUACCCCCUUCGUCUGGAAUUACUUAUCCACAAAUGCAUAAAAACAUAAAUAUCUAGAAUUAAAAUAUAUCUAGACAUAUUCAUUUCCAUUUCUGUGACAAGUAUUUCCGAACGGAGAGAAUACUCUGUCCGUUCCAAAUUAUAUGUAGUUCUGCUCAUUUUAGUGUGUGUAGAAUGUAUAUAGACAUAUUUUAUUGGUUUAUUUAUUCACUCAUUUCAGUUGGAUAUGUAAUUUAUAUUAAAAUAUCUAGAACGUCUUAUAAUUCGAAACAAAUAUGAUAUUUAAAAUCUAGGUUAGUUGUAAGUCAAACUUCUUUAUGUUUUUACGUUUGAGCAAGUUUACUGACAAAAGAAACCAACAUUUACAACGCCGAAUUAGCUUCAUUAUGGCAUCUCCAACGCCGUUCUCUAAAACAGACACACCAUUCAUUCGCGGACUGGUUCGGAUUGGUCUGUGAACUCGGAUUCGAGAGCCGGCCAUCCAACAAUGUCCCAUAAAUGUCCGCUCCUGAUGUUUUUCUUAUCCGCAAAAUUCAAAAUAAUAAUAGAAAAUAACACAAUUCAUCCAUAAAUAGCUUGCAAAUAUUCCUAGUAUAACAAUAGUUCAACACGUGUAAAUAUUACAUUCGAGAUAGACGGAUGUUCAACAAGUUUUUUGAAUCCAUCGAUUCCAAAUUCAACGGUACGCAAGUCAUAAUCGUCAGAUAUCCUCACACGCACGGUCGCCCUUAAGCUUCACCCAAUAAUGUUGAAUGUGAAUGGUCUACUCUCGGUCCUGUAGUACAACACGAUAAUGUUAGACAUUGAGUGAAUCAAUGAACUGAUCAACAUGUAGAGCAACAAGAAGCAAACACUACAAUCUUCAUGGUUGUCGAGCCUGAUGGCCACUUUGUCUCCACUCGUGCAACCACGCCACAAUACUUCAUGAAGGCGUUAGAGAUGGUGUACCACCUGUUGGCUAGUGACUUCACAUUACGAUCAUGGAUCACGUGCCUGUCGUAGGGCGCGAAGUGCUUCUCCUCAAGAAAUGAAGCACGCUUGUUUUGUCAAAACAGCGAGCCCCAUUGCCUCAUGCCUACAAAGUCUGCAUAUAUAAAUUUCCACGCAUCGCACAACAACAUAGACCCGCAUAUAUGACCUUCAACGCAUCGCACAACAACACAUACUCCAUCACCGAGUACCUCGCAAUCGUGCUUACUCUAGAAAACAACAAGAAGUUCAACAAAAAAGCUUUAUGCCAUUUGACCAAAUACUUGCUGGGUGUGGUGUCCGCCAUGGACGACAUCGACACGGGGGAGGGGGGGUUGCUAGAUACGGACGGAUCAUGAGUGGAUGACAUCGUAGUCCAAGGUGGGCAGUCGCGUAGGUGGCAUCUGCGGAUGUCUGGGCGACAGUCGGAGAGGUACAUCUAUGGCGCCCGAGGAGGGGGAUGCACAUCAUAUCUUUAGCUCCUUGUUGGUUCGACACUCUAUACUUAUCACUUCCAUCACUAGAAAGUGCUGCGACAAUUUCUUAAACACUUGGGGAUUAUUGACGGGGUCCUGUACCGGGGGUGGCUACCACCAAGGAGCCCGACCCCUUCAACUACAAGGUGGCCCAACAGACCCAUGAUGUGAUGCUAACCCUAGGAGGCCAUAAGACCUUCUUGACACCCAUGACUAGAGGGCGGCGGCGCCCUAGAUCGCAUCUGGCAUGUAAAACCUAGACUUCUCCUGUCUAUAUCAAGGGUUCCUCUCCAUCAUCUAUCCUCAGAUAGGAUAACUCCCGGUAGUGCCAUCAUACACCAUUGUAACCCCUCGCACGAGGUAUACCUCCAUUGUGAAUAACCAAAACCAAUAGGACGUAGCGUAUUACUCUCCGGAGGCCCGAACCUAAAUAAACCCCUCGCGUGACCUUCGAUCCAUGACUUCCAGCUGCGCUUGGACCCGUACCGAGGGAUCUGAUGGAAAUAUGCUCCAUCAGUUGGCACGACAGGCAUGGGUAGCGCUGGCUGGAGACCGAUCAUGGAUCGGAUCUUUCCCUGCUUCCGGCAACCUAUCGCCGGGGAAGAGCUUAAUCUUUGGCUCCUUCACGUUCGUCGUAGACAAGGCGGUCCGGGUCGGCAUCAACCUACCAUCCGACCUCACAGCCAUGGGACCUCCCGAAGGAUCUCCUCACGAUCUUGUCUGGACUAAGGGACGCACCCCACCACCAACCCAGAGGUGCCCUACGGGCAGCCUCCACGCCAUCCACGGAGUGGAGGCCAAUCCAGCAAUUCAGCUAGUCAUGAGUUCUGCGAGGCCUGCCACCUUAGCAAAGUGCCAGGAGACUGUCUCGUCACCGACCUAGAAACACACGAAGACGCCGAUGCGGCGAGUACAUCUUUAACCUCGAGCGACCAAAGAACACACGCCGAUCACCCUUACCAACGAGGACGAGAACACGAGCCUCCAACCCUUCCACGAGGUCAUGUACUCCGACCUCUGGGGGGGAGGAAGGGUCAUCUGCGGGCUCAGGGACUAAUGCCUCUUUAUAUCAAGGGACGUCCCUAUCCGAGGCCGCGUAAGCGAUAUUCCACCACCUAUACUUGAAAAUUUUUAUAACCAAGGGGGAGAUGACGAUGGUGAUGAUCACGAGCAUGAGGACGAGCAGGACCCAUAUACUCAGUGGCACCUGGCAACUUAUUCCAAUGGAUCACCUCUUUUCUGUAUACAGGGCACUACUGAUGUUACUAAGGAAGCAGGUGUUGUCUCGCAUGGUCGCACUCUCCGGACCUAUUCCAACAUCCGUUGCAGGGUAUUCGGGAUGGAUACUAGUGUGCUAGCGCCAACACCUUCUCCCUGGUUCAGUAUUGAUAGUCUUAGAGAAAACUCGCUCUUCCUUGGACAAAACUAUCCAAUGAUGGUGAAAAGCGAUCCAGCUUCUGUUGACACAAUGUUACUACUAUUUAUGAGAAGCAACUGUAUCUAUAUCUCGGACAUUGCAAUGCUUCCAUCAUAAUAUGGGUAUUGAAAUAGGCCGCUUCAGCCUGGAUGAUCAGUCCUGCGUUGGUCUCGAGAUUGACACUAGCUGGCCCUUCCCAGAGAAUCACUUCUGGUUCAAAGCAAGAAUUUCCAACGCCGACGAGUGGUUGAGCUGAAGUUCAUUUCAUUGCUUUCUUAUUUGUUGUGUGAGAAAAACUUUACUUUACUAGAAUUUUUUGUUGGAAAUGAUCUAUAAUCCAACAUGUAUCCUCGUUGUCGUUGUGGGUUGAUGACUUGUUAUGUGUAAUCAAUGGUACAUUUGCAUAUGCGUCCAUCAACUCACACCUGCUAGUGGUAUCCAUAUGAACAGUGCUAGUGAUUUUAGUUGCAAAAAUUAGAUAGUGCUAGUGAUUUUUAGCUACAUAUUUUGACAAAUCACAGUGUUACAAGGUUGACAAAUGGCAAUGUUACUAGAUAAACAAAUGUCAAUCUUUCCGGUUUGACAAAUGGCAACAUACCCAAUAUGACAGAUGCAAAUCUUACCCAUUUGUUUCUACGUGGUUGCACACGGGUCAUCCAAAACAAUCGUUUGCGUUGAAGGGAUGCACAAAUCCUGCACUGCGAAUUUUCCAUUGACUUAAGGGGGAAUACCAUAUCUCUCACUUUGCAUAUGGAUGUUCUAUCUAAAACGUUUGCGAUCAGGAGCUGCACAAAUCCUGCUCGGCACAGUUUCCCUUGGCUUCCUGGGGAAGCUGUCGGUUUGCAUACGGGUGUUCUAACUAAAACAUUUGCGAUGAGUGUUUUAUAUUUAAAAACCAUUGACGUUAUUUCAAAAGAAAAUUGUUUGAUAAGUCUAUACAUUAAGAAAUAAAAACGCAAGUUCGUUCAAACCAUAUCUUUCAUUCAGUCACACUGCGAAUUUAUAUUCGUAUGAUCGAGAAUUCGAGAUACAGUAUUAAAUCCCCAAAAAAAACUAUUUCUGGCGGUGGUGGAGGUGGCGUGCCGCGCCGUCGUUGUUGUUUUCGUCCUCCGAGGCGCUGUUGUUGAAGUCUUCAAGGCAGCAAAAAAUAUUUUUCACUUGUAAAUCAAACAUCAUGUCAUCGCGCGAUCGACAGGCGGGGCGCUUGAGGACGGCAACUGGCACCGCUGAGAGGUAGCGGUCGACGGCAGCGUCAAAUGCCGCUGAGGGGGCGCACGCAUGGGCACAUGCACGACGGGUGCAGCCAAACGCAUGGGGACCGGCGCCACGGUGGGUGGAGGGGCGCGCACGGGCAGGGGCACGGCUGGUGCAGCCAAACGCACGGAGGCCGGUGCCACGGUGGGUGGAGGGGCACGCACGGGCACAGGCACGGGCGCUAGCGUUGGCAUGUACACGAGCUUGUGCGUUUCCGCGGAGACCUCGCUGACGCCCACGGCUUCCAGCUAUGCGAUAGUGCUCGGCGACCAGCCCGUCAAUGCUACGGUUAUGGUCGCUGGCACGGGCGCGGUGAUGGGAGCUGGGACAGGAGCGGGGGCAGCAACCACCGCAGCCAGCUCGUUCAGGGCCAUGUCCAUGAGGCCCCAUUCCUCCUUAUUUUCUAUCUCAUCCGGCUCGGAGUCGACUUCACCAAAUUUGAAGACUAGUGACAGAUGAUCAUUCUGCGCCAUGGCGUUGGUGGAGGUCUGCGGGAGGGAGGGGAAUGGGAGGCGAACAGUAAGGCCACCCAUAUUAAACAGCGGCUCGGGUGCCAUUAAUGGAGAGGAAGGCGGGUGGCCAUGGAAGUCAAAGGCCUCGCUUCCCAGUGAGCAUGCGUAGUGGACAACACACAUGCUUCCCGAUAAGCUUCGCAUUGGAGAACAGCUUGCGCACCGGACUCCGCUCGCACACCUCCCAUUCAGUCAAGCAGCUAUCCUCAUGGCACCUCCUAUAGCCAUUAAAACGAAGACACGUGGCGUCCCGUGAAUGGUUAAUAGAACAUAUACGAUUUGAAUUAUACAAACAUUUGAGAUAUUAAAGUGGCAGCUACUUUUACAAAAUGCAUUUGUUGGUUGUUAUUCGAGUGCGCCUUCUCUCAAAAUGGACACAAAAAAUACCACAGCAUGUCGGGUGCCAUUCCAUGACAGCAUGCCAAGUUUCAUGAAUUUCAGACGAGUUUUGGAUUUACUAGAAUUUAAAAACAAAGUAUAUCAACGUUUUGCCGGCAAUCAACGGUGCCCUGGUGUUUAAAAUUCAUUUGCAUUUCUUGCAUGGGACCUAAGCAUGCACCCAAGGACACAUAUUUUAUUUUCCAACCAAUUUAUAUGCACUGGAGCAUGUGCAUGUAGUUCAAAUUUGAAUGAUGCACAUAAAAUGCCUACAAAACCCAGUUAAUGCAUAAAAAUGUCCAAAUGAACCCCGAAAAAUUCCAAAUUUUAACACAACACUCAUGUUGUUCUAUGUUGACACUAGAAAACUUUUGAAAUCAAUAAGAGGCAGCGGGUAUCGUUUCGUCCCCAGAGGUGGGACGUUCCCUUCCGAAACCAUCAGGCUUGUUGUGAGAAGCUUUGGUUUGUGAGAAACUUAUACCCAAAUAUGCCCCAAAUGGGACAAAAUUUUUACCACGACAUGUUGAUGCCGCUCCAUGAUAGCAUAGCAAGUUUCAUGAAUUUCAUAUGAGUUUUGGAUUUACUAGAAUUUAAAAACCAGGUAUCUCAAUGUUUGCGGCCGAGUGACCAUGGUAGGUUGUUUGACAUUCAUUUCCAUUUCUUGCAUGGGACCUAAGCAUGCAACCAAGGACACAGAUUUGAAUUUUUCAACCAAUUUAUAUGCAUUAGAGCAUGUGCAUAUAGUUCAAAUUUGAAUUAUGCACAUAAAUGCAUUGAAAACUCAAUUAAUGCAUAAAAAUAUCCAAACGAACCCCAAAAAAUCCCAAAAAUUGACACAACACUCCUGUUGUUCUAUGUUGACACGAGAAAUUUUUUGAAAGCAAUAAGAGGGAAUGGAUAUCGUUUCAUCCCCAAUGAUGGGACGUCCCUUACCAAAACCAUUGGGCUUGUUGUGAGAAGCUCUGUUUUCUGAGAAGCAUAUCCCCAAACCCGCCCCAAAUGGGACAAAAUUUUUACCACAACAUGUUGAUGCCGCUCCAUGAUAGCAUGCCAAGUUUCAUGAAUUGCAGAUGAGCUUUGGAUUUACUAGAAUUUAAAAACCAGGUAUCUCAAUGUUUGCGGCCGAGUGAUGGUGGCAGGGUGUUUGACAUUCAUUCCCAUUUCUUGCACGUGACCUAAGCAUGCAACCAAGGGCACAAAUUCAUUUUUUCAACUAAUCUAUAUGGAUUAGAGCAUGUUCAUGUAGUUCAAAUUUGAAUUAUGCACAUGAAUGCAUAGAAAACUUGGUUAAUGUUUAAAAAUGUCCAAGCGAACCCCGAAAAAUCCCAAAAAUUGACACAACACUCUUGUUGUUCUAUGUUGACACGAGAAACAUUUUGAAAGCAAUAAGAGGCAACAAAUAUCGUUUCGUCCCCCAAGGUGGCAUGUACCCUACCGAAACAAUCAUGCUUGUUGUGAGAAGCUCUAGUUUGUGAGAAGCAUAUCCCCAAACCUACCCAAAAUAGGAUAAAAAAUUUACCACGGCAUGUUGAUGCUGCUCCAUGAUAGCAUGCCAAGUUUCAUUAAUUUCAGACGAGCUUUGGAUUUACUAGAAUUUGAAAACCAAGUAUCUCCAUGUUUGCGGCCAAGUGACGGUGGCAGGGUGUUUGACAUUCAUUCCCAUUUCUUGCAUUGGACCUAAGCAUGCAACCAAGGGCACAAAUUUGAAUUUUCAACUAAUUUAUAUGCAUUAGAGAAUGUGCUUGUAGUUCAAAUUUGAAUUAUGCACAUGAAUGCUUAGAAGACUCAGUUGAUGCAUAAAAAUGUCCAAGCGAACCCUGAAAAAUCCCAAAAUUAACACAACACUCGUGUUGUUCUAUGUUGACAAGAGAAACAUUUUGAAAGUAAGAAGAUGCAAUAGAUAUCGUUUCGUCCCCCAAGGUGGCAUGUACCCUACCGAAACCAUAAGGCUUGUUGUGAGAGAAGUUCUGAUUUGCGAGAAGCUUAUACACACACCUGUCCCAAAUGGGGCGAUAUUUUUACCAUGGCAUGUCGCUACCGUUCCAUCAUAUCAUGUCAAGUUUCUUGAAUUUCAGACGAAUUUUUGAUUUACUAGAAUUUUAAAACCAUGUAUCUCAAUGUAGCGGUUGAGCGACAGUGUCAAGGUGUUUGAAAUUCGUUCUCAUUUCUUGCAUGUGACCUAAUCUUGCAACUAAGGACAAGCAUUUGAUUUUGCAACCUUUUUUAUGGACGGAGCAUGCGCAUGCAGUUCAAUUUUGAAUUAUGCACAUAAAUGCCUAGAAAACUCAAUCAACGUAUAAAAAUGUCCAAACGAUCCCCGAAAAAAUCCAAAAUUUAACACGACACUCCUGUUGUUCUAUGUUGACUCCAAGAAAAAAAUUGAAAGGAAGAAGAGGCGACGAACAUCGUUUUGUCCACAAAGGUGUCACGUUUCCCUAACGGAACCAUGAGGCUUUCUUGUGAGAAGCUCUGGUUUGUGAGAACCUUAUACCACAAUGUGCCCCAAAUGGGACAAUAUUUUUUACCUCAGCAAGUUGAUGCCAUUCCAUGAUAGCAUGCCAAGGUUCAUGAAUUUCAGACGGGUUUUGGAUUUACUAGAAUUACAAAAGCAAGUACCUCAACAUUUGCCGGAGAGCCACGGUGCCGUGGUGUUCGAAAUUCAUCCCCAUUUCUUGCAUGGGACAUAAGCAUAAACCCAUGGGCACCAAUGUUGGGGAUAUCGCUUAUCGGGAACUUAUCGGACGACCCAUGAUAAGGGGUAAAUCGGCCAGUUUAUCACCAUAUCGGCCGAUUUAUUGCCAUAUCGGCUGAUUUACCGGCCGAUUUAUCUUUUCGGUCAGACAGUGGUAAGCGAUAAAUCGGCCGAUUUAUCGAAAUAUCGGAAGAUAUCUUGAAUAGUGAUGGACAUAUGAUUUUACAAACCAUGUUGGUGCACCGGAGCAUGUGCAUGUUUUUAAUUUUGAAUUGUGUGCCUGAAAUGGCUAGAAAACCAAUUUAAUGUAUAAAAUUUCCAAACGAACCCUGAAUAAUUCCAAAUUAUUUUAUGACACACAUAUAGUUGCAUGUUCAAUACAGAUAAAAGGUAUAGCAAUUCAAACACCGUCCAUUGCCGAUGUGACCCCAUUAUGUAAUUCAAUUCAAGACGAAAAAUCAAGUAGAUCCAACAUAGUUUAUUAUCACCAACCGUGUGAGAUGCAGCACAAUAUAUCUUGGAGCACCGUCGGAUUAUAGUACACAUACGACUUACACGAGAAGGUGCGACGGCUAGAGUCCAAAGCCCACUCUGAAUAAGGGACCGUGUCUGAUGACACUUUGUGCGCUAGUUUUUUCGCUGAAGCGAUUCCAAAUUUUUGGCUUUCGCGGAAAUAUCUACCUCCCCGCCCCUCCCCCUUACCAAAAGCUACAUUUCCCCUAUUUCCACUUUCCUUUCCAAGUUCAAACUUUCACUCCUUUCUUGCAGCGCUGCCUCCUCGCCAGUGACCCUCCUUCAUGCUGCUCGGCCUCGCCUAUCCAGGCAGGUAAUCCACACCCGACCCCCAUCCUCCUUCUUCCACAUCCCUCAUGCCCCGACCGUCGGCGCGAGCGUGACACCUUCCACCCAAAUCACCGACCCAUCCACCAAAUAAGCGCCGCCCUAAGCCAUGGUGCACGCAGUGUAGCCAAGAUCUCAAGGAGCAUUUGGCUGCAGAGAAGCAAAUCGCGGCCACACGCGUGGAUGAGGUCGUCAUGGCUGCCAUUUGUGCCGACCCCCAGAUCUUGGAGGAGCACCUCACCGUCGAGGCCACUGUCGACGCCUCGCACGCCGACGCCGCGAGGCACUUGGCUGCUUUAAAUGACAGUUUGUGGCAUUUUCUCGAGGCCACCGUCGGUGCCUUCGACGAAGACUAUGAGGUGUUUUCUCAGCGUGCACAUGCUUACCUCAUCUCGAGAGCCAGCAGGUUGGUGCCCGGAGCGGCUCAGGCAACUCACCACUACGACGAGGGCACCCGCGAUGCAGAGGCCUCGCCCUCUUCCAUGUCCAAGCAGCCAAUAGUCAUCGAUAUCUCCGACAAUGAGGAGUAGCUUGUCUUAUUAGCUCACUAUAAGGACCCAUGUUCAGUUUGCUAGCUACUGCCUUUCCUUAACAAAGUCUAGUGAAUUGUGCUAUCUACUUUUACCAUGCAAUCUUCUGCGCUAGUGUAUAUGUUCUAUAUGUCGUGCAAUGUGGUGUUCAGUUAACUGUUUGGUUCAAUUCUGCAAAUGUGAUGUUCAAUUCUUCAGGAUGCAAUUUUCCAAGUUGUCAAGCAUGCUUGGUUUGGUUAACUGUCUGAUCUUCUAUUAGGAGUAUGUUAUAUUGUGCAAUGUGGCGCUCAAUUAAUGUUUGAUUCAUUUGUUGUGGUGUUUACACUACUGCAGGAUGCUGCUAACGCGACACUACGAUUAGACACCCUUCGAAAAAACUGUGUGCGAUGCAAUAAUCGCAAACGGUGGUGUAAAAACCCGUCAAAAAGGUGCAAAACGUUUGCGAUGACAGAUGCAUCAAACAUGAUUCAGAAUUUAGUUGCGUGUGCGAUGGAGGGCAUACGGUUUAGUUCAAUUAACUAUUUGUGAUGAGGAGAAACAAAAGAAACGGGCAACUAGAUGAAGGUGUGUGCGAUAUACAACAUACGGUUCACUCAGAUGAACUGUUUGUGAUUAGGCAACACAAAAGAAAUGGGCAGCCAGAUGAAGGUGUGUGCGAUGUACAUCAUACGGUUCACUCAGAUGAACUGUUUGUGAUUAGGCAACACAAAAGAAAUAGGCAGCCAAAUGAAGGUGUGUGCGAUCUACAACAUACGGUUCACUCAGAUGAACUAUUCGUGAUUAGGCAACACAAAAGAAACGGUCAGCCAGAUGAAGGUGUGUGCGAUGUACAGCGUACGGUUCACUCAGAUGAACUGUUUGUGAUUAGGCAACACAAAAGAAACGGUCAGCCAGAUCAAGGUGUGUGUGAUAUAUGACAUGCGGUUCACUCGGCCUUGUCGUCAGUGUGUGACCUCUGUGGCAACCGUUCUCUCCCCACUAGCCUCUUCUUGUACCGUGGCAACCGUCCACCGCCUCUUCGCCUUUCCCUCUCAAUUUGGAACAGUUGUCGCACGCUCUUCCUCCCUCCAUUUUCCUUCACCCUUCCUUCUACCAUUGUUUGAUCAUUUUCUAUAUGGAGGGAACAAGACGGCAACGACCCCGUUAUCCUUGCCCCAAUAUGAAAGAUGACGUGGUGGAGGAACUCAUUGAUCGGUGCGACAUCAUCACCUCGGCUAGCAUGGCUGGUUCGUUCAAGACCAUUCUCGACUCAACUAAUAACAUCAUUACAAGGAACCCAAGGGUCCAGGAGUGGUUUGAUCUCCCCUCUCUUCUUCGUCAUGACCCUGCUGACUUGCCCGGGGAUGACAGAAGCCUCGCGUUGUGCAAGUUGAUGCCGCUUGAUAAUGAUACGUGUGAUGUUAAGAUGCCAUCGCUUGAGGGCAAGGCUUGGGCAGGCGCAAAUGGAGAUUGGGUUGUUUAUAUUGGGUACAACUGCGAGUGGGAACUUGUGAAUGCGUACACUCGUCACCGGGUUCCACUUCCAAAAAUCUCAGACUUCCCAGAGGUUGAGUACACCGGUAUUCUACAUGAGUUCAAAUACAAUCAUGGUGACUAUCAUCUACGGAAGAUAGCAAUUUGUCAAGUUCCCAACCACUCUUGGGAUUACACGAACUAUGAAGUUGUUGCUAUCUUCGACAAGCUUGUUGCCGUCCUUACUUCCACGCCUCGAUGGAGAUUGCGUAAAAAUCAAUUUCUGUACAUGGAUGAGUGUUGGGGAUCGUAGCAGAAAUUUAAAAUUUUCUACGCAUCACCAAGAUCAAUCUAUGGAGUCAUCUAGCAACGAGAGGGAGAGGAGUGCAUCUACAUACCCUUGUAGAUCGCGAGCGGAAGCAUUCAAGAGAACGGGGUUGAUGGAGUCGUACUCGUUGUGAUCCAAAUCACCGAUGAUCACAACACCGAACGGACGGCACCUCCGCGUUCAACACACGUACGGAGCGAGGACGUCUCCCGUGCCUUGAUCCAGCAAGGAGGAGGGAGAGGUUGAGGAAAAGGGCUCCAACAGCAGCACGACGGCGUGGUGGUGGUGGAGCAGCAGUACUCCGGCAGGGCUUCGCCAAGCUCUUGCGGAGGAGAGGUGUUGGGGAGGGGAGGGGCUACGCCUUGGAUGUGGUGUGCAGCCCUCCCCUUGCCCCUCUAUUUAUAGGGGAAGGAGGAAGGGGGCCGGCCCCCUCUAGAUGAGAUCUAUAUGGGGGACGACGGCCAAGGGGAGGGGGCUUGCCCCCCAAGCAAGGGGGGCGCCCCCAUAGGGUUCCCCCCCCCCCAACCCUAGGCGCAUGAGCCAAAGGGGGGGAUGUGCCCAGCCCAUGUAGGGCUGGUUCCCUUUCCUCUACGGCCCAUUAGGCCCUCUGAGAGAGGUGGCCCCUCCCGGUGGACCCCCGGAACCCCUCCGGUGGCCCCGGUACAAUACCGAUAUGCCCCCGAACCUUUCCGAUGACCGUAUGACAACUUCCUACGUAUAAAUCUUCACCUUCGGACCAUUCUGGGACUCCUCGUGACGUCCGGGAUCUCAUCCGGGACUCCGAACAACAUUCAGUAAUCACAUACAAGUCUUCCUAAUAACCCUAGCGUCAUCGAACCUUAAGUGUGUAGACCCUAUGGGUUCGGGAACCAUGCCGACAUGACCGAGACAAUUCUCCGGCCAAUAACCAACAGCGGAAUCUAGAUACCCAUGUUGGCUCCCACAUGUUCCAUGAUGAUCUCAUCGGAUGAACCACGAUGUCGAGGAUUCAAGCAAUCCCGUAUACAAUUCCCUUUGUCAAUCGGUACGUUACUUGCCCGAGAUUUGAUCAUCGGUAUCCCAAUACCUCGUUCAAUCUCGUUACCGGCAAGUCACUUUACUCGUUCCGUAAUGCAUGAUCCCAUGACCAACAACUUAGUCACACUGAGCUCAUUAUGAUGAUGCAUUACCGGGUGGGCCCAGAGAUACCUCUCCGUCAUACGGAAUGACAAAUCCCAGUCUCGAUUCAUGCCAACCCAACAGACACUUUCGGAGAUACCUGUAGUGCACCUUUAUAGCCACCCAGUUACGUUGUGACGUUUGGUACACCCAAAGCACUCCUACGUUAUCCGGGAGUUGCACAAUCUCAUGGUCUAAGGAAAUGAUACUUGACAUUUAGAAAAGCUCUAGCAGACGAACUACACGAUCUUGUGCUAUGCUUAGGAUUGGGUCUUGUCCAUCACAUCAUUCUCCUAAUGAUGUGAUCUCGUUAUCAAUGACAUCCAAUGUCCAUGGUCAGGAAACCGUAACCAUCUAUUGAUCAACGAGCUAGUCAACUAGAGGCUCACUAGGGACAUGUUAUGGUCUAUGUAUUCACACAUGUAUUAUGAUUUCCGGAUAACACAAUUAUAGCAUGAACAAUAGACAAUUAUCAUGAACAAGGAAAUAUAAUAAUAACCAUUUUAUUAUUGCCUCUAGGGCAUAUUUCCUACAAUGAGUACUAUGAUGCAAUUCAAUACGAGGGUCUUGUGUUUGCUGCCAUCACUCGUGGCAUUGCUUUUGCAUGGAAUCCUGAUGCUUUCGGUACCUUUGUCUUCCACCGUAAUUAUAAUUGUUUCAUCCACAUGCAUGAGGGUUAGCUAGUUUCCCUUUACUAAUUAACCUUCUUUUGUUUCCAAGGUUCUGUGAACAUUCCACCACCUAUACUUGAAUUUUUUUAUAACCAAGGGGGAGAUGACGAUGUUGAUGAUCACGAGCAUGAGGACGAGCAGGAUCCAUAUACUCAGUGGCGCCCGACAACUUAUUCCGAUGGAUCACCUCUUCUUGUUUGUAUACAGGGCACUGCUAAUGUUACUAAGGAAGCAGGUGUUGUCUCGCAUGGUCGCACUCUCCGGACCUAUUCUGACAUCCGUUGCAGGGUAUUCGGGAUGGAUACUAGUGUACUAGCGCCAACACCUUCUCCCUGGUUCAGUAUUCAAAGUCUUGGAGGAAACUCGCUCUUCCUUGGACAAAACUAUCCAAUGAUGGUGGAAGGCGAUCCAGCUGCUGUUGACACAAUGUUAAUACCAUUUAUGAGAAGCAACUGUAUCUAUACCUCAGACAUUGCUAUGCUUCCCUACCAUCCCAAUAUGGGUCCUGACAUAGGUCGCUUCAACCUGGAUGAUCAGUCCUGCGUUGGUCUCGAGAUUGACAGUAGCUGGCCCUUCCCAGAGAAUCACUUCUGGUUCAAAGCAAGCGUUUCCAACGCCGACGAGUGGUUGAGCUGAAGUUCAUUUCAUCGCUUUGUUAUUUGUUGUGUGAGAAAAACUUUACUUUACUAGAAUGUUUUGUUGGAAAUGAUCUAUAAUCCAAGGCAUUGAAGGGAUGCACAAAUCCUACACUGCGAGGGAAGACCAUAGCUCUCACUUUGCAUACGGGUGUUCUAUCUAAAACAUUUGCAAUCAAGAGCUGCAGAAAUCCUGCUCGGCACAUUUUCCCUUGGCUUCCUAGGGAAGCUAUCGGUUUGCAUACGGGUGUUCUAACUAAAACGUUUACGAUGAGUGUUUUAUGUUUAAAUACCAUUGACAUUUUUUUAAGAAAAUCAUUUGAUAAGUCUGUACAUUAAGAGAGAAAAACGCAAGUUCAUUCAAACCAUAUCUUUCAUUCAGUCACACUGCGAAUUUAUAUUCGUAUGAUCGAGAAUUCGAGAUACAAUAUUAAACCCCCAAAAAACUAUUUCCUGCGGCGGCGUGCCGCGCCGUCGUUGUCGUUGUCAUUGUCGUUCUCCGGGACAACGUUGUUGAAGUCUUCAAGGCAGCACAAAAUGUUCUUCACUUGUAAAUCAAACAUCAUGUCGUCGCGUGAUCGACGGGCGGGGCACGGGACGACGGCAACUGGCGUUGCUGAGAGGUAGCGGUNNNNNNNNNNNNNNNNNNNNNNNNNNNNNNNNNNNNNNNNNNNNNNNNNNNNNNNNNNNNNNNNNNNNNNNNNNNNNNNNNNNNNNNNNNNNNNNNNNNNNNNNNNNNNNNNNNNNNNNNNNNNNNNNNNNNNNNNNNNNNNNNNNNNNNNNNNNNNNNNNNNNNNNNNNNNNNNNNNNNNNNNNNNNNNNNNNNNNNNNNNNNNNNNNNNNNNNNNNNNNNNNNNNNNNNNNNNNNNNNNNNNNNNNNNNNNNNNNNNNNNNNNNNNNNNNNNNNNNNNNNNNNNNNNNNNNNNNNNNNNNNNNNNNNNNNNNNNNNNNNNNNNNNNNNNNNNNNNNNNNNNNNNNNNNNNNNNNNNNNNNNNNNNNNNNNNNNNNNNNNNNNGGCAGGGGCACGGGCGCGGCCGGUGCAGCCAAACGCACGGGGGCGGCGCCACGGUGGGUGGAGGGGCGCGCACGGGCACGGGUGUUGGCGCUGGCAUCUACACGAGCUCGCGCGGGUCCGCGGAGACCUCGCCAACGCCCGCGGCUUCCAGCUCUGCGAUAGUGCUCGGCGACCAGCCCGUCAAUGCUACGGGGAUGGUCGCUGGCGCGGGGACGGGAGCCGGGGCAGCAAUUGCCAUAGCCAGCUCGUUUAGGGCCAUGUCCGUGGGGCCCCAUUCCUCCUUAUUUUCUAUCUCCUCCGGCUCAGAGUCGACUUCACCAAACUUGAAGACUAGUGGCAUAUGAUUAUUCUGCGGCAUGGCGUUGGUGGAGGUCUGCGGGAGGGAGGGAAAUGGGAGGUGUGGGCGUCCUGGAUUAGGGGGUCUCCGGACAGCCAGACUAUAUCCAUUGGCCGGAUUGUUAGACUAUGAAGAUACAAGAUUGAAGACUUCGUCUCGUGUCUGGAUGGGACUCUACUUGGCGUGGAAGGCAAGCUAGGCAAUACGGAUAUGUGUAUCUCGUCCUUUGUAACCGACCUUGUGUAACCCUAACCCUCUCCGGUGUCUAUAUAAACCGGAGGGUUUUAGUCUGUAGGACAACAUACAAUCAUACCAUAGGCUAGCUUCUAGGGUUUAGCCUCUCUGAUCUCGUGGUAGAUCUACUCUUGUACUACCCAUAUCAUCAAUAUUAAUCAAGCAGGACAUAGGGUUUUACCUCCAUCAAGAGGGCCCAAACCUGGGUAAAACAUUGUGUCCCAUGCCUCAUGUUACCAUCCGCCUUAGACGCGCAGUUCGGGACCCCCUACCCGAGAUCCGCCGGUUUUGACACCGACAUUGGUGCUUUCAGUGAGAGUUCCUCUAUGUCGUCGCUGUUAGGCUUGAUGGCUCCUACUAUCAUUGAUGGCGAUGCUGUCCAGGGUGAGACUUCUCUCCUCGGACAGAUCUUCGUGUCCGGCGGCUUUGCACUGCGGGCCAAUUCGCUUGGCCAUGGAGCAGAUUGAAAGUUACGCCCCUGGCCACCAGGUCAGGUUUGGAAGCUUAAACUACACGGUCGAUAUCCGCGGAGACUUGAUCUUCGACGGAUUCGAGCCUCUGCCUUGUGCGCCACGUGGUCACGAUAAGUACGAUUUAGCUCUACCAUCGGACAGUGUUAAGGAGAUCGCACCGGCAGCCGCUCCGACCCUCAAUUCGGAGGCAGUUGCGCCUUCCGCGGACGGGUGGAUGGACCCCGCCACGGAGGCCUUACCCUCAGCGGCGAUCGAGUCGAACAUCGACUUUACCUUGCACGAGAGCCGUGUUGUUAAACUGCCGGAUACUUCUCCGGCCACGGACUCCGAACCGCCUGUGCCCGUUCCGAUCGAAUCCGGUUGGAUGCCAAUCAUGGAGUUUACCUCCACGGAUAUCUUUCAGCACUCGCCCUUCGGUGAUAUACUGAAUUCAUUAAAAUCUCUCUCCUUGUCAGGAGAAUCCUGGCUGAACUAUGACCGGCAGGAUUGGGAUGCGGACGACGAAGAAAUUCGCCGCCCACCCACCACCCACUUAAUAGCCACUGUCGAUGACUUAACCAACAUGCUCGACUCCGACUCUGAAGACAUCGACGGUAUAGACGACGAUGCAGGAGACGAACAGGAACCACUGCCCACAGGGCACCGGACGCCCACUUCACCACAUGAUGUAUACAUGGUGGACACACCAAAAGAAAACGACGACGAGGAAUAGAAGGACGCAACAAAGGGUUGUUCCCUCGAGAAGCAGUCAAAACGGCGGCGUAAGCGCCGCCUCAAAUCCCGCCUCGGUAGAAACAACGAUCAUACAGACCCACCAUUAGAGCAGAGGGAACCAUUGCCGGACGACGGCAACACAGAGAAUCAAGCCGAACAACCCGACUCUGUCAAAGAUCAUAGUCCAGAUGACGUCACACUAGACAGACACCCGGAGCAACAGAAUGCCCAUCAAAGGCUCGUUGCCACUACGAGGAGUCUAAAAAAGCAUAAGCAAAGGCUCAAGGCUGCGCAAGACACACUCCAAAUCAGAUGGAGCAAAGUACUCAACACAGCAGCGAAGUACGGCGGUAAUCGCCCCACCAAGAGCUACUCGAAGCGGAUGUUGCUACCUGAAUUCGAUGAGGAGGCCUUAGAUCCCCCACAACCAAAAAUCAAAACAGCCAUCUGGCCGGUUAGGCGACCUCAUGGCCAACAUAGAGCGGCAAACAACGCCGCACAUAAGCCAAUACGCGAUCCACGCAAGGACUCGCAUCAAAAGGACGGCGCAACCAGAUCCAUCUAUGGACCACGUAAGCGCGCUCCAGCAUACAAUGCAACACAACAAACAUCCAAACAACGCGGUACACCCAGAUACAGGGGUGCCGCACACCCCCUAUGUUUCACCAAUGAGGUGCUGGACCAUGAAUUUCUAGAGGGAUUCAAACCCGUAAAUAUAGAGGCAUACGAUGGAACAAUAGACCCUGGGGUCUGGAUUGAGGACUAUAUCCUCCAUAUCAAUAUGGCUCGAGGAGAUGACCUCCACGCCAUUAAGUAUUUACCCCUCAAACUCAAAGGGCCAGGUAGGCACUGGCUUAAGAGCCUCCCCGAAAGCUCCAUUGGAAGCUGGGAAGAGCUCAAAGAUGCUUUUCGGGAAAAUUUUCAAGGGACUUACGUCCGACCUCCGGACGCGGAUGAUUUGAGUCAUAUAACUCAACAGCCCGGAGAGUCAGCCUGAAAGCUUUGGAACAGGUUUCUUACCAAAAAUAACCAAAUAGUCGACUGUCCGGACGCCGAAGCCUUGGCAGCUUUUAAGCAUAGCGUCAGUGACGAAUGGCUUGCCAGACACCUCGGCCAAGAAAAGCAGAGAACAAUGGCAGCAUUAACAAGCCUCAUGACCCGCUUUUGCGCGGGUGAGGAUAGCUGGCUAGCCAGAUGCAGCAUCAGUGACCCCAAUACAUCCGAAGUUAGAGAUGGAAACGGGAAAUCACGGCGCAACAACAAUAACAAACGCCGGAAUAAAGAAGACAGCACGAAGAGCACGGCAGUAAACGCCGGAUUCAGAAGCUCUCGGCCAGGUCUGCAAAAGCCGCCCUCUAAAGGCACGAGAGACGAACUGUCCAGCCUAAACAAAAUUCUGGACCAAAUAUGUCAGAUCCAUAGCACCCCUGGUAAACCCGCUAAUCAUACCCACAGAGAAUGUUGGGUCUUCAAGCAGUCCGGCAAGCUCAAUGCCGUACACAAGGGGGAGGAUACACCAAGCGAAGACGAGGAUGAGCCUCUCAAGCAAGACACUGGGGAACAAAAGAAGUUUCCACUAGAAGUCAAAACAGUCAACGUGUUACACGUGAUCAAGGGGAGAAACAAAGCGGCACUCCUAGAAAAAUAUGCCCAAGGGCCUAUCACCGCGGAGUCCUGCCACUGGUCGUCUCAACCGAUCACUUUCGACCAUCGUGAUUACUCAGCAAGUAUCCGGCGUGCAGGAUGGGCUUCCCUGGUAUUAGACCCAAUAAUUGACGGAUACCACUUCACACGAGUCCUGAUGGACGGUGGCAGCAGUCUAAACCUAAUAUACCAGGAUACAAUCCGCGAAAUGGGGAUAGACCCAACGAAAAUUUGCCAUAGCAAAACUACCUUUAAAGAAGUAACGCCAGGCCCAGGGGCUCACUACACGGGCUCCCUGCUACUAAAGGUUAUAUUCAGCUUCCCCGAUAACUCCCGUAGCGAACAUUUAACCUUCCACAUUGCUCCAUUCCAAAGUGGCUAUCAAGCACUACUUGGACGCGAAGCUUUCGCUCGCUUUAAUGCAAUACUGCAUUACGCUUCCCUCACGCUCAACAUGCCCGGUCCACGUGGCAUCAUUACAGUGAAUGGAAAUAUUGAGCGAUCUUUGCGCACCGAAAAGAGUGCGACUGCCUUGGCAGCCGCACACUAAAAACGGCCUCACCAACUAAAGCAUUUGAUAGGUCGUCAAGACCACGGACACGGUUAGACGUGUCCGCACAGCUAUAUGUAAUUCAUACCAGAUUGAUGGCCACACCCCUAUUACAAAUACAAGGGGCUCAACGCGCGCAGACAAGUGGCAAUUUUUACUCAUCUUUAAUUAUACAUGGUUUCUUUAAAAACCUUUUUGCACGACAACUUUUCACCUAAGUUCCUCUCUUUUACAGAUGACCAUCGUGCUACACCCGUCCAGGAUACGGCACAACGGAGACACGGGCGCAGACGUGCAGCAGGGACCCGCUCCAAGGAUUCUUUUUAGAUUAAGACCCUGCGUAAACCUUUUUUACUGUCUCUUGUUGAUACACAUCCCUCGGAUUCUCAGUACAAUUGAGAAGGAUGCUGACGUCUUGGCAUGUGGCCACAUCAGAAUAACGCACGUACCUGGACACAAGGGGCUUCUUACAAAGGGCACUAUUUAGGCCCGGUUUAUACCAUAAAGACCGAAUACCUUAGGGAGUGUUCGGCGUCGCAAGGUUGGCCUUAUAUGCAUCAGCUCCGAAUCAUGUCUUUGGUUAAAUGUUGGGUUUGCCCGGCUCCUGUGUUUUGGUGCCUUGCAUUCCGUUUUAUCGGCUAAGGCAGCACCAGGAGAACUACUAUGAUUGUGCCCUGUUUCAUUCGGACGAGCACCUCAGUAGAGAAAGCCGAAAACUGACUGUCAUGAUAUAGCGCGAGACUGGUCAACCACUCGAUGACCUAUCGGAAUGUUAGAAUUCCUCCGCUUUAAUGAAGGGUGGUUUCCCGGCCAGGCAUAUACGCACCCCGAGUUCGAGAGAGUGCGGAGCCACCAGGGGCUAUAUAGUAGCCCCACCGUCAAACUCCUAUGGCUAAGUGAAAGUGUUAAAGCAUCAUAGUCCGGUUGCCUCGUUUGCUGCGCUAUCACCUCCUUAUUAGGACCAAGACGUUGGGUUAAGUGUGAACACGCGUCUUCUGCGAGCACCUCCGCAUUAUAUGCGUGGGGGUUGAAGCCGACGACUGCAAUCUUUCAGGUUAUAUACAUAUAUACAUAAACGGCCGCACAGGAGGCAUCAUAUUACUUUCAGGCAAAAGUAUAAAUACAGCCUUAAUACAUUUCAUAAAAACAUUGUGUUUACAAUGGGAAUACAUGUCACUCAAACAUAAUAUUCUUCGAGCACUCGGCCUCUACCAAAUGAGCACCCUCAAGAACCUCUUCAAAAUAGUGCUCGGUAGCCACUCGGCCUAUGGCCGAAACUUGCACCGCAACAGUGGCAGCAUCCAUCUCCGCCCAGCAUGCUUUGACACGGGCAAAGGCCAUCCGCGAGCCUUCUAUGCACGUCGACCUCUUCAUCGCAUUGAUGCGCGGCACCACAUCAAGGAACUGCUGCACUAAGCUGAAACAGUUGUUCGGCUUCGGCUUCUCCGACCACAAAUGAUCUACGACGGACCUCAUGGCAAGUCCGGACAACCUAUUAAGUUUGGCCCAUUCGGCUAGCUGAUCAGUCAAGGGAAGCGGAUGCUCUGGAACGUUAAACUGCGACCAGAACAGCUUGUCCACUUCACGAUCUCUCUGAUCUCAGAAGUAUUCGACCGCAUCGACAGGGCUCGCUGCCAAGUCCAUAUAUGCGUCUGCCGAACUCCACAGCCGAUCCAGAGGGGCAUACCGUGGAUCUCCGAACUUCCUCUGCAGCAGAAAGGGCUUCCCAGCCGCAAUAUCCCCGACUUCACGCAGCUCCUCCUUCUUCACCCUCAUAGCAGAGCGAGUGUCUUUGGUCGCCAUCGUGGCCUUUUCAAGGUCCGCUGCCUUCACUCGGUUCUCUUCUUCUAGGAACUGGCAACGGUCGGUAGUGUCUUUUAAUUUUACGGCCAUCUUGGCCAUCUUCUCUUUGCUUUCGCAAUGCGCGGCCUUCUCGGCUCUUAACUCUUCAGUCGCCUUCAAAGCAGCCGCAUUACUAACUCUUGCUUCUUCCUUGGCUCGGGCAAGUUCCGCCCGAAGGGUCUCCACGUGGCAGCUCCGUCUGCAGUCACAACAUAUUAAAGAUACUGGCAUCAUGCUGCUCUUAUUAUGUGACAUUCACCAGAAAACAUUACUUACCCCGUGACUCGUCAAGCCGCUUGUUAACAAGCUCGAUGUCGGCGUCUGCCGCAUCCAGUUGCUGCUUUAGUUCGGCAAACUCAUUAGUCCGGCUAGCCACCGAAGCUUCCACCACCUGCACAUAAAGGCAGCCUGGUUAUUACCUGGGACUAUGAUCCUCUGUUCGCCGCCGUUCUCGACGACAACCAGAGUCUCAGGGGCUACUAUCUACACAGGGCACACCUAACAUGUGCGGUACUAUCAAAAAGUAUAUCAUUUCAUGUACCUCAAAGCCUGUCAGAAGACUCAUAAAGGCUUCAUGUAAUCCGCUUUCGGCGGACGAAAUUCUUUCCAUCACCGUACCCAUCAACGUACGGUGUUCUUCUGAGAUGGCCGCCUGCUUCAACAGCUCCCUCAGAACAUCCGACCGCAUACCAGACGGUGCCGGACUCUUUUGUUUUCUCUCUUCGAGAGCUGGACGCUGGGGACUUCGGGUGACUAUAGGAUUAUCUUCUGGCCACACCGGAUCCGGAGAGGCCCUCCGUGACGACACUUCAAGGUCGCCCGCUUCUUGAGCGGGGGAGUCCGGGGGAGGCAUUUCGCUCUCCAUCAUCUCCGGAAGAAGAUCCCCCGAAGACGAGCUCAGCUGAGAAGGGCUAAGAUCUGAACUACAAGAUAUAUGCUUCGGUUAUUUUCCUCAGAGGAAAGGUAGUAUAUCUUCACUAUUAAAGUAUUUUUUAUCACUUAUGGCUCGUUAGAGGGCUGAUCCCCGCGUGGACUUUGUGUGGCAAGAGCACCCCCCGAGGCAGGACCCUCUGUUGGAGACUUCUUCUCCCGUUUGGAAGCCUCGGUUUCUGGAUCCUCAUAGGCAGUCCUCCUCCUCCCCCGUAGUGAGAGAAGGUCAGAGUCUUCUGCUUGGUUAUCCUCCCUUAUGGAGGCGCUCAUUCCCUCGGUUGGAACUGGCAGCAAUGGGGGCCCGCUUUCGCCCACAUUAUUCCCCCCCCCCGUAUCUUCCUUCGAGGGCUCCAGGCAAGGUGCGAGCUCGAGCAUCUUUUCCAGUACCGGAUUUUCCAAACCCUCAGGGAGGCGGGCCGAACACCGAAUCAUCUUCUCCUUUUUUAGCCAGUCCUGGUCAAAGGGCAAUUUCUCAGAAACGACGUCAUGAUAAAUAAAAGAUAGUGUGUUCAGCUAGAGGAUUACUUACUUGGUCAGCGGUGCAGUUGCUACUCAGGCCCACGUCCUCGGUAGUAUCCGGACACUCUGCUUGAGGUCCGAAGAAUGACUUGUACAUCUCCUCGUGCGUCAGGCCGAGGAAACUUUGAAUAGCGCGUGGUCCUUCUGGGUUGAAUUCCCACAAGCGAAGGGGCCGGCGUUUGCAAGGCUAGACUCGACGAACCAGCAUGACUUGCAUUACCAUAACCAAAUUAAAACCUCCCUCGAAGAGAUCUUGAAUGCGGCUUUGCAGUAUAGGCACGUCCUUGGCUGGACCCCAACUCAGCCCUCUACUAAUCCAUGACAUCAGUUGUGGUGGGAGGCCCGAGCGGAAAGCGGGGGCAGCCACCCACUUGGCACUUCUGGGAGCUGUGAUGUAAAACCACUCCCGUUGCCAUAAUCCGGACACCUCUGAAAAGGAACCUUUUGGCCACGGAGCUCCCGCAAUCUUGCUUAUUAAUGCUCCUCUGCAUGCUACGUGCUGUCCCUCAAUUGUCAUCGGCUUCACAUCAACGGUCUUGAGCCACAGGCCGAAGUGAGGGGUAAUGCAGAGGAAGGCCUCACACACGACAAUAAAUGCCGAGAUGAGAAGAAAGGAGUCCGGGGCUAGAUCGUGGAAGUCUAUCCCGUAAUAAAACAUCAAACCCCUUACGAAGGGAUCUAGAGUGAGGCCUAGACCUUGGAGGAAGUGGGAGAUGAACACGACGUCUUCGUUGGGUUCAGGAGUAGGGACGACUUGCCCUCGGGCAGGCAGCCGAAGCGAAACCUCGGCGGUCAGGUAUCUGGCCUCCCUCAACUUCUUGAUGUCUUCUUCUGUAACGGAGGAGGGCAUCCAUCGGCCUUGAAGGCUGGAUCCGGACAUGAUUGAAGGUCCGGAGCACCUGACCUAGGCUUUGGGUGUUAGAACUCGAGGCGGGGGAAGGAUUCGAUUGAGCACGGGAGGGGAAAAAGUAAAUGCCUUGGCCCUUUAAAGAGGGUGAAUAUCAAGCGUCCUCUCCGUGGCCGUUUGGGACUUGCCUAUAAUCUAGGAGUCCUAGACGCGGUUGGGUUACCCACGCCCGUAUUGAUAAGAAUCCCGUGAUAAGGGGACACGAUCUUUGCUUUAGCGAGACGUGUCAAAAAACUGCCUUGCGCUAUGUGCGGGGCUAGUUAAAAGAAACGGUUCGAAUAAUCACUGGGCUGUGACAUAAUGUCGUGUUGCCAAAACAAGUUAGCAAAUUGGAUUUGUGGAAAUAUUAUUCUCUCUACGGUGGUAUGUGGGACUUAUUUUGCAGGGUCACACACUAUCCUUAUAUUCAAAUUCUUCCAUGGUGUAUUCGGAGGAGGAACCCGCCUUGCAAUGCCGAAGACAAUACUGCACGUCGGACUCAUCGUCAUUGAAAGCCUGGUUCAGGGGCUACUAUGGGAGUCCUAGAUUAGGGGGUCUCUGGACAGCCGGACUAUAUCCAUUGGCCGGACUGUUAGACUAUGAAGAUACAAGAUUGAAGACUUCGUCUCGUGUCCGGAUGGGACUCUACUUGGCGUGGAAGGCAAGCUAGGCAAUACGGAUAUGUGUAUCUCCUCCUUUGUAACUGACCUUGUGUAACCCUAACCCUCUCCGGUGUCUAUAUAAACCGGAGGGUUUUAGUCCGUAGGACAACAUACAAUCAUACCAUAGGCUAGCUUCUAGGGUUUAGCCUCUCUGAUCUCAUGGUAGAUCUACUCUUGUACUACCCAUAUCAUCAAUAUUAAUCAAGCAGGACGUAGGGUUUUACCUCCAUCAAGCGGGCCCGAACCUGGGUAAAACAUUGUGUCCCCUGCCUCCUAUUAACAUCCGCCUUAGACGCAUAGUUCGGGACCCCCUACCCGAGAUCCGCUGGUUUUGACACCGACAGGAGGCGAACAGUAAGGCCCCCAUAUUAAACAUCGGCUCGGGGGCCAUUAAUGGAGAGGAAGGCGGGCGGCCAUGGAAGUCAAAGGGCUUGCUUCCCAGUGAGCCUGCGUUGCGUAUAGCUCACACGCUUCCUGGUGAGCCUGCACAUUGGAGGACAGCUUGCACGCCUCUCGGUCAGCCUGCACACCUGUCGGUGUCAAAACCGGUGGAUCUCGGGUAGGGGGUCAUGAAGUGUGCGUCUAAGGUCGAUGGUAAUAGGAGACAGGGGACACGAUGUUUACCCAGGUUUGGGCCCUCUCUAUGGAGGUAAUACCCUACGUCCUGCUUGAUUGAUAUUGAUGAAUACGAGUAUUACAAGAGUUGAUCUAUCUCGAGAUCGUAAUGGCUAAACCCUAGAAGUCUAGCCUGUAUGACUAUGGUAAUGAGUAUAUCUAUCUUUCCGGACUAAGUCCUCCGGUUUAUAUAGACAUCAGGAGGAUCUAGGGUUACACAAGGUCGGUUACAAAGAAAGGAAUCUACAUAUCUGGUUGCUAAGCUUGCCUUCCACGCCAAGGAGAGUCCCGUUCGGACAUGGGUGCAGUCUUCGGUCUUUGUAUCUUCACAGCCCAUCAGUCCGGCCCAUGGGUAACAGGCCGGACGCCCGAGGACCCCCUAGUCUAGGACUCCCUCAGUAGCCCCCAAACCAGGCUUCAAUGAUGAGGUGUUCGGCACGCGGAUUGUCUUCGAUUUUGCAAGGCGGGUUCCUCCUCUGACGACUUCCAAGUAAUGGAUUCGACUUAUAAUUCAAUACCAGACCCCUUAGCUUCUGUGCAUCUUUGGCUUCAGCUUCCACGUGUCGGGUGAAAACGGACGGGCAUGGUAUUUUUUGCACAUAACACCCCGGCCACACAAGAAAGAGCGUCCAUUUAAAGAGAUUGGGUCUCAGAUCCAUUCGGCACCACGCGGAGAAAAUCCUCAGAGAGUAACAGGAAAGACCAUUCCAACAUGGCUAAUAUUCCCACCUCCUCCUCCCGUUCCGACCCAAAGAAAGGCGAGUGGGAGAGGUGCUCUAUGCUCCACAGUCAAUUGGAGAAGUUGCAAACGCAGGGAUUUCUCCCUCCUGCAGAUCUGGUUCCCGUUCGAGCGGGGUUGGCCUCCUUCAACGGCAAAACCUAGGCGGAGGAUUUCCCCAAUCCAUCCGCGGGGGAACGAGUGUGUCUCAUCCCCUAUUUGCUAAGGGGCGUGGGAUUUCCAAUCCAUCCCUUCCUACGAGGUCUGCUAGAGUAUUAUGGCCUCCAACUGCACAGUCUGACUCCUGCCUCUAUCCUUCAUAUUGCGGGUUAUGUCGCUCUAUGCGAGCUAUUCCUGGGCUGCAAGGCCCAUUUCGAUUUUUGGAGAAGACUGUUCUGCCUCGUCCCUCGUAAUCAAGGUGGGUCAAUUUUUGAAGUGGGAGGAACCUAAGUGUGGCGCAUCGCCGGACCGGAUACCUAUUCGGCACGCGGAAGACAGCCUCCGAAGAGUGGCCUUCUGAAUGGUUCUACAUUGACGACGUCGCUCUACCCGACCCCGUCCGUAUGGGCCUCCCCGAGUUUUCAAGUGCUCCAUUGAAGAAACGCCAUAGCUGGCAUCCUCGGAGCCUCGAGGAAGAGGACAAUGCAGAGAUCAGCCUGCUGCUGGGCAAGAUUAAGACGCUCGCCCAUUCCGGAUUGUCAAUAGUCGAGGUAAUGGCGAUCUCUAUAGCACGAGGGGUCCAGCCACUCCAAUAAAGAGGGCUGCCCAUGUGGCAUUAUAACAGGGAAGACGACGCCUCACGCUAUGGUCGGAAGGGCCCGAAGACCCCGCCACCCUGGCUAAAAUACUGGACGAGCUGUAUAAAGGGGAGAAGGAGGAGUUCACCCAUCUCCAAUAUCGAGAAGGAUUUUCCAUGUAUAAUCCUCCCAGCUGGGUAAGCUUCAGCUCCACUAUUUUACUCCUGUCCCUGAAUCAUUCUUAAUAGGCAGUAUCUUAUCCACUUAUAACAGGAAUGACGAAAGGCCGUCGAGGGGAUCCAAGACCCGGCUCCUCAGCCGGAGAAUCGCAACCGGGAUCUUGACGCCGGAUAUGAAGAAGAUCCGGACAUAUUUGUGGAGCUCGAGGAUGGAAUAUUCUAUCAGAUGAGCUAUGAAGGUACAGAUGUACCCAUCAUCGCCGAUUACCCCGGUCUCCUUCCUACUUCACAUGUAAGUAAUCCGGAGAUACCUUGUCCAAGAGAGUUUUCUCAUUCCUCCUCACCCACCGCACUGUCCUGUGCUCAAAAGGGGAGGUGUUCGGCGCGCCAUGCUGCCCCGGGGUCAUCUCUGAAGAGAGCGUCUACUACCUCUUGAGCACUGCGUUGGUUUUCCCUUGAAGAGGAAAGGGUGAUGCAGGAAAGUAGUGUAAGUAUUUCCCUUAGUUUUUGAGAACCAAGGUAUCAAUCCAGUAGGAGAUCACGCUCGAGUCCCACGCACCUACACAAACAAAUAAGAACCUCGCAACCAACGCGAUAAAGGGGUUGCCAAUCCCUUCACGGUCACUUACGAGAGUGAGAUCUGAUAGAUAUGAUAAGAUAAUAUUUUUGGUAUUUUUAUGAUAAAGAGAAAUAAAGAUGCAAAGUAAAAUAAAUGGCAAAGGAAAUAACUAAGUGUUGGAAGAUUAAUAUGAUGGAAGAUAGACCCGGGGGCCAUAGGUUUCACUAGUGGCUUCUCUCAAGAGCAUAAGUAUUAUGGUGGGUAAACGAAUUAAUGUCGAGCAGUUGAUAGAAUUGAGCAUAGUUAUGAGAAUAUCUAGGUAUGAUCAUGUAUAUAGGCAUAACGUCCGCGACAAGUAGACCGAAACGAUUCUGCAUCUACUACUAUUACUCCACACAUCAACCGCUAUCCAGCAUGCAUCUAGAGUAUAAAGUUCAUAAGAUAUAAACCCCAUCUUUUAUCCUCGAUGGCAACAAUACAAUAAGUGACGUUUCCCUUUCUGUCAGUGGGAUCGAGCACCGCAAGAUUGAACCCAAAGCUAAGCACUUCUCCCAUUGCAAGAAAGAUCAAUCUAGUAGGCCAAACCAAACUGAUAAUUCGAAGAGACUUGCAAAGAUAAACCAAUCAUACAUAAAAGAAUUCAGAGGAGAUUCAAAUAUUGUUCAUAGAUAAACUGGAUCAUAAACCCACAAUUCAUCGGAUCUCGACAAACACACCGCAAAAGAAGAUUACAUCGAAUAAAUCUCCAAGGAGAUCGAGGAGAACUUUGUAUUGAGAUCCAAAGAGAGAGAAGAAGCCAUCUAGCUAAUAACUAUGGACCCGUAGGUCUGAAGUAAACUACUCACACAUCACCGGAGAGGCCAUGGAGUUGAUGUAGAGGCCCUCUGUGAUCAAUGCCCCCUCCGGUGGAGCUCCGGAAAAGGCCCCGAGAUGGGAUCUCUUGGGUACAGAAGGUUGCGGCGGUGGAAUUAGGUUUUCGUGGUGCUCCUGGAUGUUUGGGGGGUACAUGGACUUAUAUAGGAGGAAGAAGUACAUCGAUGGAGCAACGAGGGGCCCACGAGGGUGGAGGGUGCGCCCCCUGCCUCGUGCCCUCAUUGUUUAUUUCUUGACGCCCACUCCAAGUCUCUUGGAUCACGUUUGUUGAGAAAAUCACGUUCCCGAAGGUUUCAUUCCGUUUGGACUCCGUUUGAUAUUCCUUUUCUACGAAACCCUAAAAUAGGCAAAAAAACAAUUUGGGCUGGGCCUCCGGUUAGUAGGUUAGUCCCAAAAAUGAUAUAAAAGUGUAAAAUAAAGCCCAUUAACAUCCAAAAUAGAUAAUAUAAUAGCAUGGAGCAAUCAAAAAUUAUCGAUACGUUGGAGACAUAUCAAGCAUCCCCAAGCUUAAUUCCUGCUCGUCCUCGAGUAGGUAAAUGAUAAAAGAAGAAUUUUUGAUGUGGAAUGCUUUCUAACAUAUUUCUCAAUGUAAUUUUUCUUUAUUGUGGCAUGAAUGUUCAGAUCCGAAAGAUUCAAGAUAAAAGUUUAAUAUUGACAUAGAAAUAAUAAUAUUUCAAGCAUACUAACUAAGCAAUUAUGUCUUCUCAAAAUAACAUGGCCAAAGAAAGUUAUCCCUACAAAAUCAUAUAGUCUGGCUAUGCUCUAUAUUCACCACACAAAAUAUUUAAAUCAUGCACAACCCCGAUGACAAUCCAAGCAAUUGUUUCAUACUUUUGAUGUUCUCAAACUUUUUCAAUCUUCACGCAAUAUAUGAGUGUGGGCCAUGGAUAUAGCACUAUAUGUGGAAUAGAAUGGUGGUUGUGGAGAAGACAGAAAAGGAGAAGAUAGUCUCACAUCAACUAGGCGUAUCAACGGGCUAUGGAGAUGCCCAUCAAUAGAUAUCAAUGUGAGUGAGUAGGGAUUGCCAUGCAUCAGAUGCACUAGAGCUAUAAGUAUAUGAAAGCUCAACAAAAGAAACUAAGUGGGUGUGCAUCCAACUUGCUAGCUCAUGAAGACCUAGGGCAUUUUGAGGAAGCCCAUCAUUGGAAUAUACAAGCCAAGAUCAUGGUGCUACUUUGAAGCACAAGUGUGGGAAAGGAUAGUAGCAUUGUCCCUUCUCUCUUUUUCUCUCAUUUUUUUUAUUUGGGCCUUCUUUUUUUUGGCAUCUUUUCUCUUUUUUUCGUCUGGAGUCUCAUCCCGACCUGUGGGGGAUUCAUAGUCUCCAUCAUCCUUUCCUCACUUGGGACAAUGCUCUAACAAUGAUGAUCAUCACAAUUUAUUUACUUACAACUCAAGAAUUACAACUCGAUACUUAGAACAAAAUAUGACUCUAUGUGAAUGCCUCCGGCGGUGUACCGGGAUGUGCAAUGAUGCAUGAGUGACAUGUAUGAAGAAUUAUGAGCGGUGGCUUUGCCACAAAUACGAUGUCAACUACAUGAUCAUGCAAGCAACAUGACAAUGAUGAAGCGUGUCAUAAUAACGGAACGGUGGAAAGUUGCAUGGCAAUAUAUCUCGGAAUGGCUAUGGAAAUGCCAUAAUAGGUAGGUAUGGUGGCUAUUUUCAGGAAGGUAUAUGGUAGGUUUAUGGUACCAACAAAAGUUGCGCGAUACUAGAGAGGCUAGCAAUGGUGGAAGGGUGAGAGUGUGUAUAAUCCAUGGACUCAACAUUAGUCAUAAAGAACUCACAUACUUAUUGCAAAAAUCUAUUAGUUAUCGAAACAAAGUAUUACGCGCAUGCUCCUAGGGGGAUAGAUUGGUAGGAAAAGACCAUCGCUCGUCCCCAACCGUCACUCAUAAGGAAGACAAUCAAUAAAUAAAUCAUGCUACGACUUCAUCACAUAACAAUUCACCAUACGUGCAUGCUACGUGAAUCACAAACUUCAACACAAGUAUUUCUCAAAUUCACAACUACUCAACUAGCAUGACUCUAAUAUCACCAUCUCCAUCUCUCAAAACAAUUAUCAAGUAUCAAACUUCUCAUAGUAUUCAAUGCACUUCUAUGAAAGUUUUUAUAUUAAAGAAAGUUUCCAUGUUGUUAUAGAGUACUCUCAAAAUAAUAUAAGUGAAGCAUGAGAGAUCAAUUAUUUCUCUAAAAUAAAACCACCGCCGUGCUCUAAAAGAUAUAAGUGAAGCACUAGAGCAAAAACUAUAUAGCUCAAAAGAUAUAAGUGAAGCACAUAGAGUAUUCUAAUAAAUUUCAAAUCAUGUGUGUCUCUCUCAAAAGGUGUGUACAGCAAGGAUGAUUGUGGUAAACUAAAAAGUAAAGACUCAAAUCAUACAAGUCGCUCCAAGCAAAACACAUAUCAUGUGGUGAAUAAAAAUAUAGCUCCAAGUAAAGUUACCGGUAGACGAAGACGAAAGAGGGGAUGCCUUCCGGGGCAUCCCCAAGCUUAGGGUUUUUGGUGUCCUUGAAUUUUACCUUGGGGUGCCAUGGGCGUACCCAAGCUUAGGAUCUUGCCACUCUUUGUUCCAUAAUCCAUCAAAUCUUUACCCAAAACUUGAAAACUUCACAACACAAAACUCAAAAUAGAAAAUCUCGUGAGCUCCGUUAGCGAAAGAAAACAAAACACCACUUCAAGGUACUGUAAUGAACUCAUUCUUUAUUUGUGUUGGUGUUAAAACUACUGUAUUCCAACUUCUCUAUGGUUUAUAAACUCUUUUACUAGCCAUAGAUUCAUCAAAAUAAGCAAACAACACAAGAAAAACAGAAUCUGUCAAAAACAGAACGGUCUGUAGUAAUCGGUAGCUAACGCAGCUUAUGGAACCCCAAAAAUUCUAAAAUAAAUUUCUGUACGUGAGUAAUUUAUAUAUUAAUCAUCUUCAAAAAUAAUUAACUAAAUAGCACUCUUCAAAUAGAAAUGGCAGCGAUUCUCGUGAGCGCUAAAGUUUCUGUUUUUUACAGCAAGAUCAAAAAGACUUUCCCCAAGUCUUCCCAACAGUUAUACUUGGCACAAACACUAAUUAAACACAAAAAUAUAACCAAAACAGAGGCUAGAUAAAUUAUUUAUUACUAAAGAGGAGAAAAAAAUCAAGGAAUAAAAAUAAAAUUGGGUUGCCUCCCAACAAGCGCUAUCGUUUAACGCCCCUAGCUAGGCAUAAAAGCUAAGAUAGAUCUAGGUAUUGCCAUCUUUGGUAGGCAAUCCAUAAGUGGCUCUCAUAAUAGAUUCAUAUGGUAAUUUAAUUUUAUUUCUAGGAAAUUUUUCCAUGCCUUUCUUUAAUGGAAAUUGGAAUUUAAUAUUCCUUUCCUUCAUAUCAAUAAUUGCACCAAUCGUUCUAAGGAAAGGUCUACCAAGAAUAAUAGGACAUGAAGGAUUGCAAUCUACAUCAAGAACAAUGAAAUCUACGGGCACAUAAUUCUUAUUUGCAACAACAAUAACAUCAUUAAUUCUUCCCAUAAGUUUCUUAAUAGUGGAAUCCACAAGGUGCGAGUUUAAAGAACAAUCAUCAAAAUCACGGAAACCUAGCAAAUCACAUAAAGUUUUGGAAUCGUGGAAACACUAGCACCCAAAUCACACAAAGCAUAACACUCAUCAUAUUUAAUUUUAAUUUUUAUUGUAGGUUCUCACUCAUAAUAAAGUUUUCUAGGGAUAGAAACUUCCAACUCAAGUUUUUCUUCAUAAGAUUGCAUCAAAGCAUCAACGAUAUGUUUAGUAAAAGCUUUAUUUUGACUAUAAGCAUGAGGAGAAUUUAGCACGGAUUGCAACAAGGAAAUACAUUCUAUCAAAGAGCAAUUAUCAUAAUUAAAUUCCUUGAAAUCCAAGAUAGUGGGUUCAUUACUAUUUAAAGUUUUGACCUCUUCAAUCCCACUUUUACCAAAUUUUGCAUCAAAAUCUAAAAACUCCGAAUUUUUGGAACGCCUUCUAGGUAAAGUGGCUCAUCUUCAGUCCCAUCAUUAUCAAGAUUCAUAUUGCAAAUCAAAGAUUUAAUAGGACACACAUCCAUAACUUUUAGAUCUUCAUCUUUAUUUUCAUGGAAACUAGAAGAACGCACUUUCACAAAGCAAUCUUUCUUAGCACGCAUCCUAGCGGUUCUUUCUUUGCGCUCAUAAAUGGAAAUUCUCAUAGCUUUGAGAGACUCAUUGAUAUCAUGCUUAGGUGGAAUAGAUCUAAGUUUCAAAGAAUCAACAUCAAGAGAAAUUCUAUCAACGUUCCUAGCCAAUUCAUCAACCUUAAGCAAUUUUUCUUCAAGCAAAGCAUUGAAAUUCUUUUGCGAAUUCAUAAAAUCCUUAACACUAGUCUCAAAUUCAGAGGGCAUAUUAUUAAAAUUUCCAUAAGAAUUUUUGUAGGAAUUACCAUAAUUAUUAGAGGAAUUACUAGGAAAUGACCUAGAAUUAAAAUUACCUCUAUACGCGUUAUUACCAAAAUUGUUCCUACCAACAAAAUUCACAUCCAUAGAUUCAUUAUUAUUCUCAAUCAAGGUAUACAAAGGCAUAUCAUUAGGAUCAGUAGGAGCACUCUUAUUAGCAAACAAUUUCAUAAGUUCAUCCAUCUUUCCACUCAAAACAUUAAUUUCCUCUAUCGCAUGCACUUUUUUACUAGUAGAUCUUUCGGUGUGCCAUUGAGAAUAAUUAACCAUAAUAUUAUCUAGGAGUUUAGUAGCUUCUCCUAAAGUGAUUUCCAUAAAAAGUGCCUCCCUCGGCCGAAUCUAAAAGAUUUCUAGAAGCAAAAUUCAAUCCAGCAUAAAAAUUAUGUAUAAUCAUCCAAAGAUUCAAACCAUGUGUAGGGCAAUUACGUAUCAUAAAUUUCAUCCUCUCCCAAGCUUCUGCAACAUGUUCAUGAUCAAGUUGCUUAAAAUUCAUAAUAUCGUUUCUAAGAGAGAUGAUUUUAGCGGGAGGAAAAUACUUAGAGAUAAAAGCAUCUUUGCACUUAUUCCAUGAAUCAAUACUAUUUUUAGGCAAAGACGAGAACCAAGCUUCAACACAAUCUCUAAGGGAAAAAGGAAAUAGCUUCAAUUUAACAAUAUCAUUGUCCACAUCUUUCUUCUUUUGCAUAUAACACAAAUCAACAAAGCUAUUUAGAUGGGUAGUGGCAUCUUCACAAGAAAGGCCGGCGAAUUGAUCUUUCAUGACAAGAUUCAACAAAGCAGCAUUAAUUUCACAAGAUUCAGCAUCAGUAAGAGGAGCAAUCGGAGUGCUAAGAAAAUAAUUGUUGUUGGUAUUGGUAAAGUCACACAGUUUAGUAUUAUUGUGAUCCAUAGUGACAAGCAAGCAAUCCAACACACGAGCAAACAAGAAGCAAGCGAAAAAGAGGCAAACGGAAAGAGAGGGAGAGAGGAAAAGAGGGCGAAUAAAACGGCAAGGGUGAAGUGGGGGAGAGGAAAACGAGAGGCAAAUGGCAAAUAAUGUAAUGCGAAGGAUAAGAGUUUGUGAUAGGUACUUGGUAUGUCUUGACUUGUGCGUAGACUCCGGCAACGGUGCCAGAAAUGGCUCGUUGUCAGGAGUCAAAUCUUGACUUGACUUGGCGUGAAUCUCCCCGGCAACUGUGCCAGAAAUCCUUCUUGCUACCUCUUGAGCACUGCGUUGGUUUUCCCUUGAAGAGGAAAGGGUGAUGCAGCAAAGUAGCGUAAGUAUUUCCCUCGGUUUUUGAGAACCAAGCUAUCAAUCCAGUAGGAGAUCACGCUCGAGUCCCACGCACCUACACAAACAAAUAAGAACCUCGCAACCAACGCGAUAAAGGGGUUGUCAAUCCCUUCACGGUCACUUACGAGAGUGAGAUUUGAUAGAUAUGAUAAGAUAGUAUUUUUGGUAUUUUUAUGAUAAAGAGAAAUAAAGAUGCAAAGUAAAAUAAAUGGCAAAGGAAAUAACUAAGUGUUGGAAGAUUAGUAUGAUGGAAGAUAGACCCCGGGGCCAUAGGUUUCACUAGUGGCUUCUCUCAAGAGCAUAAGUAUUACGGUGGGUAAACGUAUUAUUGUCGAGCAAUUGAUAGAGUUGAGCAUAGUUAUGAGAAUAUCUAGGUAUGAUCAUGUAUAUAGGCAUCACGUCUGCGACAAGUAGACUGAAACGAUUCUGCAUCUACUACUAUUACUCCACACAUCGACCGAUAUCCAGCAUGCAUCUAGAGUAUUAAGUUCAUAAGAACAGAGUAUUGCUUUAAGUAAGUUGACAUGAUGUAGAGCGAAAACUCAUGCAAUAUGAUAUAAACCCCAUCUUUUUAUCCUCGAUGGCAACAAUGCAAUACGUGUCGUUUCCCUUUCUGUCACUGGGAUCGAGCACCGCAAGAUUGAACCCAAAGCUAAGCACUUCUCCCAUUGCAAGAAAGAUCAAUCUAGUAGGCCAAACCAAACAGAUAAUUCGAAGAGACUUGCAAAGAUAAACCAAUCAUACAUAAAAGAAUUCAGAGGAGAUUCAAAUAUUGUUCAUAGAUAAACUAGAUCAUAAACCCACAAUUCAUCGGAUCUCGACAAACACACCGCAGAACAAGAUUACAUCGAAUAGAUCUCCAAGAAGAUCAAGGAGAACUUUGUAUUGAGAUCCAAAGAGAGAGAAGAAGCCAUCUAGCUAAUAACUAUGGACCCAUAGGUCUGAAGUAAACUACUCACACAUCACCGGAGAGGCCAUGGAGUUGAUGUAGAGGCCCUCCGUGAUCAAUGCCCCCUCUGGCGGAGCUCUGAAAAAGGCCCCAAGAUGGGAUCUCUUGGGUACAGAAGGUUGCGGCGGUGGAAUUAGGUUUUCGUGGUGCUCCUAGAUGUUUGGGGGUACGUGGACUUAUAUAGGAGGAAGAAGUAUGUCGGUUGAGCAACGAGGGGCUCACAAGGGUGGAGGGCGUGCCCUGGGGGGUAGGCACACCCCCUGCCUCAUACCCUCCUUGAUCGUUUCUUGACGCCCACUCGAAGUCUCCUGGAGCACGUUUGUUGAGAAAAUCAUGUUCCCGAAGGUUUCAUUCUGUUUGGACUCCGUUUGAUUUCGUUUUCUUCGAAACCCUAAAAUAGGCAAAAAAACAACAAUUUGGGCUGGCCUCCGGUUAGUAGGUUAGUCCCAAAAAUGAUAUAAAAGUGUAAAAUAAAGCCCAUUAACAUCCAAAAUAGAUAAUAUAAUAGCAUGUAGCAAUAAAAAAUUAUAGAUACGUUGGAGACGUAUCAGCGUUCCCCACACCAGGCAAGCCUUCGAAGAGGAAGGCAAACGAAGAUACGGCCGAGCCUUCGUCAAAGAGGUAUGAAUUUGGAAAUAUGCACCUUGGCAGUCACAUCCAACUAUGACCUUUCCGUUUACCCUGUAUCAGGAAAAAGGUGUGCCGGACUAUAUCCUGGGGUUCGGCCGGUCAUACUUCCCGCAGCCAAGAUCCAGAUCCUGCCGUGAAGACGGGGGCUGAUGCAGGGGUGACGUCGGACUGUCCUCCAGCCGAGGAUUCGGAUGAUGUAUCCGUCACCAACUCGGAAGUGGAGAGCGCCAUGAAUCAUCGGCUCCGCAAGGCUGUUUUACAAAACCCUGGUUUUUCAGAAGAGGCAUUUAACGCCUUCAGCUCUGUUGAUGCAUAUAUCCGAGCUGCUCGUGAUGGGCUUAAUAGAGCCACAAAGCAGCAUUUAAAAGAUGUCCAGGUAAGUUUACUUUGUAUGACUAUGAUAACCAUAUGCCAGUAGCCCCCGAGACUUGAAGGAGUUGGUACAACUGAUUUAAGUAUUGUUGUAUAACCAGGUUCCUACGGAGAAGAAUGACCUGUUAGCCCAAGAGCUGGAAAAGUGCCAGACACAGCUAACUGCUGCCCGCGCCGAACUGGAGAAAUCCAAGAAGGCGUCACCUGGUAAAGUUCCCCUCCAUCGAGAAAACAUAAUGUUAUACCAAUAAUGUUAACCACGGUUGCUUACCUCCUGUCGGGAUCACUAGGUCAACUACAAGAACAACUGAAAGCUGCCCAAGACGGAGAACGAGAAGCCAAGAAGCUGCUAGCCGCGGGAGAGCGUGUGCUCACAAAUGUCGUACUGGAGAAGAACAAGCUCCAGGAUUCGAAUACCCGAUUGGGUGAGGAUCUGAAAGAUGUACGGGCCCAACUGGCCAACUCCGUGAAGGAGAAUAAAAGGCUGCGCGGUAGCAUGUUCAGUAUGUGUCUGACUUUACUUUAUAAUAGUUUGGAGAUAUCAGGAACUGUCAGAGUUAUAUCUGUAGGUAUGCUGACCGGCCGUCCCGAAGAUGAGAUGUCUGGAUUCUUAGGCGACCUGCUACAAGAGUUGUCACAUAUUCAUGAGCAAGCUCGACAGGCGAUGCGAAGCGUUGCCAAAGCUUUGUGGCCAGGUGCCUCCUCUCUAGGAAAGAUGGAGGAGCUCCUAGAGCUAUUCAAGGGGGCGCAGCAACGUUUUCGAUUGUGGAAAAUAUCGGCCUGUCGGGAAGGGGCUCGAGAAGCCUGGGCCAUGGUGAGGACACGGUACACCAAGCUUGACCUAAAUCAUAUGGCUCGGGUCGGACCUCUAGGGUCACACGGGAAGGAAGUUCCCGUUAAUUUGGUGUAUGACCAAGUAGCACUAGCUGCAAAAUAUUUCCAGCAGGAUUGUAAGUUAGAUAGCCUGCUGGAGGGUAUAGAGGAGGAAAUUUUUGAGUCGAAAUGACUAUGUAUUUUUCCGUCUAGCUGAAUUGUAAAACGAUUGUCAUGGUAGACCUUUUCGCUUUGCCCUUUGGACCCGAAGGCGCGGAGUGUUUCCGAAUACCUGUGCGGCCGAAUAGAUCGGGGUAUGCGUGGAAACCAAUCAUAGGGGUCAUAGUUGCUUGAAUAGACAAGUUGUAUCCGGCUAGUUAUGUUAUGUUACAUUAUGUAAGAAACAUCUUCCAGAGAGAAUAGUUCCAUUAAGGGUUCCUUUCCCUGGGUGUUCAUGCGUUAGAGCGCAUGUCCGAACUAUGAUUGAAAAAAUCGCAGUAUAUAUAUCUUUUCUAGGGGUUCGCAAAUGGAGCGAAUGCAAAAAACAUCUUUAAUUCACCGACCGAAUACUCCCUUGAGAACGCUAGCUUUCGGCUUCACCCAGUCUGAGGUACACAUCUGGAUGACCCAGCAGUAACAAUUGUAGAUGUGCUCCCUUUAUGCCCUAGCCGAACUAACGGGAACGUAGGGCAUAAGCACAGGAGCCAGGAAACCCAUCUUGGCCAAAGCUUAAGUCAUAUGGAUGCAUGUAAUGGCGAAGAAAAGGUACAUAUGGGAAAAACGCAUAUGUGGUGAGCAUGAUGCUCGAAGAAUAAUAGCAAGCUUCUAUACAAGAAGCCCCCAGGUAUAAUGGACGUACAUAUUUGGAGAUGUACACAUCGGGGGAGCAUGGUCUAACCGUACUAAAGUCAUAGGGAUAAAGGGCAAAACGAAAAGAGAUAGAAAACAAAAAGAGGGAAAAAGUAACGUUAAUAACAGGAGGAAGGAGACGAACACAGAGUUUGGCGCUAGGCAAAGAAUCGUCGGAGUCUGGCCGCAUUCCAGGGGUUCGGCUCCAAGUGAUUGUCUGACGCAUCAUGCAGGAGGUACACUCCUCCAGUGAGGACUUCGUCAAUGAUGAAGGGACCCUCCCACUUGGGCUUGAGUUUGUCCUUUUUCUUCUCCGGCAGGCGUAGAACGAGUUCACCAACGUUGUAAGUCUUGGCCCGCACUUCUCUGCUUUGAUACCUGCGAGCCUGCUGUUGAUAUAAUGUGAAACGGGCUUUCGCGACGUCGCGCUCCUCUUCCAGGGCAUCUAAGCUGUCCUGCCGAUCGAGCUCGGCCUCUCUCUCUCUUCGUACAUGCGCACUCGAGGUGAGUCAUGAAUAAUGUCGCAGGGUAACAAUGCUUCCGCACCGUACACCAUGAAGAACGGUGUGUAUCCAGUAGUGCGGUUGGGCGUGGUCCGCAGCCCCCAGAGUACGGAGUCAAGUUCCUCCGCCCAGUGCUUGUCUGAUUCUUUCAAAGACCGCACUAGUCUAGGUUUGAUACCGCUCAUAAUAAGACCAUUAGCCCGGUCGACUUGACCGUUUGUCUGCGGGUGAUAGACAGAGGCGUAAUCGAGCUUAAUGCCUAGAUUAGCACACUAAGUUUUCACUUCAUCGGCUGUGAAAUUAGAGCCAUUAUCGGUGAUGAUGCUGUGUGGAACACCAUAACGGUGUACCAUGCCGGAUAUGAAAUCUAUUACCAGCCCCGCCUCGGCUGUUUUGACUAGUUUGGCCUCUAUCCACUUAGUGAAUUUAUCCAACAUGACCAGCAGAUACUUUCUCUUAUGGCUUCCUCCUUUAAGGGGUCCGACCAUAUUGAGGCCCCAGAACGCAAAAGGCCAAGUGAUGGGGAUUGUUUGUAAGGCAGUGGGGAGCAUAUGGCUUUGGUUGGCGAAGAGUUGGCAUCCGACGCAAUGUUGGACAAGGUCCUGUGCAUCUGCUUGGGCCAUUGAUGACCCACAAGUAUAGGGGAUCUAUCAUAGUCCUUUCAAUAAGUAAGAGUGUCGAACCCAACGAGGAGCAGAAGGAAAUGAUAAGCGGUUUUCAGCAAGGUAUUCUCUGCAAGCACUGAAAUAAUAGGUAACAGAUAGUUUUGUGAUAGGAUAAUUUGUAACGAGUAACAAGUAACAAGAGUAAAUAAAGUGCAGAAAGGUGGCCCAAUCCUUUUUGUAGCAAAGGACAAGCCUGGACAAACUCUUAUAUAGAGAAAAGUGCUCCUGAGGACACAUGGGAAUAUCGUCAAGCUAAUUUUCAUCACAUUCAUAUGAUUCACGUUCGGUACUUUGAUAAUUUGGUAUGUGGGUGGACCGGUGCUUGGGUACUGUCCUUACUUGGACAAGCAUCCCACUUAUGAUUAACCUCUAUUGCAAGCAUGCGCAACUACAACAAAAGUAUUAAGGUAAACCUAACCGUAGCAUGAAGCAUAUGGAUCCAAAUCAGCCCCUUACGAAGCAACGCAUAAACUAGGGUUUAAGCUUCUGUCACUCUAGCAACCCAUCAUCUACUUAUUACUUCCCAAUGCCUUCCUCUAGAUCAUGUGCACGUAGUUCAAAUUUGAAUUAUGCACAUAAAUGCAUUGAAAACUCAAUUAAUGCAUAAAAUUUCCAAACGAACCCCAAAAAAUCCCAAAAAUUGACACAACACUCAUGUUGUUUUAUGUUGAGACGAGAAAUUUUUUUAAAGCAAUAAGAGGCAAUGGAUAUUGUUUGGUCCCCAAAGGUGGGACGUUCCCUACCGAAACCAUCAGACUUGUUGUAACAAGCUCUGGUUUGUGAGAAGCAUAUCCCCAAACCUGCCCCAAAUGGGACAAAAUAUUUACCACGACAUGUUGAUGCUGCUGCAUCAUAGCAUGCCAAGUUUCAUGAAUUACAGACGAGCUUUGGAUUUACCAGAAUUUAAAAACUAGGUAUCUCAAUGUUUGCGGCCGAGUGACCGUGGCAGGCUGUUUGACAUUCAUUCCCAUUUCUUGUUGGGACCUAAGCAUGCAACCAAGGGCACAUAUUUGAAUUUUCAACCAAUUUAUAUGCAUUGGAGCAUGUGCAUGUAGUUCAAAUUUGAAUUAUGCACAUAAAUGCAUUGAAAACUCAGUUAAUGCAUAAAAAUGUCCAAACGAACCCCAAAAAUUGACACAACACUCCUCUUGUUCUAUGUUGACACGAGAAAAAAUUUCAAAGCAAUAAGAGGCAAUGGAUAUCGUUUCGUCCCCAAAGGUGGGAUGUUCGCUACCGAAACCAUCAGGCUUGUUGUGAGAAGCUCUGGUCUGUGAGAAGCAUAUCCCCAAACUUACCCCAAAUGGGACAAAAAAAUUACCACGGCAUGUUGGUCCCGCUCCAUGAUAGCAUGCCAAGUUUCAUGAAUUUCAGACGAGCUUUGGAUUAACUAGAAUUUAAAAAGCAGGUAUCUCAAUAUUUGCGGCCGAGUGACCGUGGCAGGGUGUUUGACAUUCAUUCCCAUUUCUUGCAUGGGACCUAAGCAUGCAACAAAGGACACAUAUUUGAAUUUUCAACCAAUUUAUAUGCAUUGGAGCAUGUGCAUGUAGUUCAAAUUUGAGUUAUGCACAUAAAUGCAUUGAAAACUCAGUUAAUGCAUAAAAAUGUCCAAACGAACCCCAAAAAUCCCAUAAAUUGACACAACACUCCUGUUGUUCUAUGUUGACACGAGAAAUUUUUUGAAAGCAAUAAGAGGCAAUGGAUAUCGUUUCGUCCCCAAAAGUGGGACGUUCCCUACCGAAACCAUCAGGCUUGUUGUGAGAAGCUCUGGUUUGUGAGAAGCAUAUCCCCAAACCUGCCCCAAAUGGGACAAAAAAUUUACCAUGACAUGUUGAUGCCACUCCAUGAUAGCAUGCCAAGUUUCAUGAAUUUCAGACAAGCUUUGGAUUUACUAGAAUUUAAAAACCAGUAUCUCAAUGUUUGCGGCCGAGUGACCAUGGCAGGGUGGUUGACAUUCAUUUCCAUUUCUUGCAUGGGACCUAAGCAUGCAACCAAGGGCAGAUAUUUGAAUUUUCAACCAGUUUAUAUGCAUUGGAGCACGAGCAUGUAGUUCAAAUUUGAAUUAUGCACAUAAAUGCAUUGAAAACUCAAUUAAUGCAUAAAUUGUCCAAAAGAACCCCGAAAAAUCCCAGAAAUUGACACAACACUCCUGUUGUUCUAUCUUGACAUGAGAAUUUUUUUGAAAGUAAUAAGAGGCAAUGUUUAUUGUUUCGUCCCCAAAGGUGGGACAUUCCUUAUCGAAACCAUUAGGCUUGUUGUGAGAAGCUCUGUUUUGUGAGAAGCAUAUCCCCAUACCUGCCCCAAAUGGGACAACAAAUUUACCACGACAUGUUUAUGUCGCUCCAUGAUAGCAUGCCAACUUUCAUGAAUUCCAGACGAGCUUUGGAUUUACUAGAAUUUAAAAACCAAGUAUCUCAAUGUUUGCGGCCGAGUGACCGUGGCAGGGUGUUAGACAUUCAUUCCCCAUUUCUUGCAUGGGACCUAAGCAUGCAACCAAGGGCACAAAUUUGAAUUUUCAACCAAUUUAUAUGCAUUAGAGCAUGUGCAUGUAGUUCAAAUUUGAAUUAUGCACAUAAAUGCAUUGGAAACUCAAUUAAUGCAUAAAAAUGUCCAAAUGAAGCACACAGUCAUUCAAAGUGAAUGGUCUAGCGGCACCGCGCGCAAAAUUUCCCUCCACAUUUCCAAGAUUUUGGCCUACCGCCAAAAUAUCUACCCCCUCCCCCCUUCCCCACGCCCCUUUCUCCCCAACCACAAGUCACAUUUCCCCUAUUUCCUCCUUCGUCCCUUCCUUACUUCCUAACCUAUAGGCGCUUCCUCGCAUCUCGCAUCCUACCAUCGGGGUCGCCAUGGUCUUCUUCAAAGACCUCUCUAGCGGUUCCUCCUCCGGCGAUGACUCCUUCACCACCCGGGUAUGCCUCUCUUCUCUCUCUCGGGCUAUGACAUGGAAUGAAAAUUUUUUACCCGGCGGUCGAUUUGAGUCAUUUCUUCCUCUUAUAGCUCCCUAGGACCAUCAGUGGCAAUGAAUGGAACGGGGUGGCUCAAGAUCUAUCUGCUCGUUGUCACCAUCAAUCUCCAUGCGUGAAGCUAGUUGCGUUUGAACCUAUGGACAAUGGGAGGAAGUUUCUGGCAUGUGCACACAAGGUUAGACCCUCUUUCGUUGUUACAAAUCAUUUGUUAGAUGUGAUUCAGACACUGUCACGGUCCCAACCCAUUCAUACCACACCUUUAACCAAACGCAUCCUAAGUCAGUGUCACAGUUUGUACCUAGUAUCUUAAAUUUUUUGCCAUCUCAUUAGCGGUGCCAUUAGAAAAUUAUUUGGCACCGCUUCAGUAGUUUGUGCGGCCAACUUUGGUCCACACAUCCGAGCAGCCAAGAAGUAAAAUACUAAAUCUUUAUGGCACGAAGGAACUGGGCAUCAGAGGAACUACGUGCUCCGGUCAGGUCCCUAAUUUUUUUCCGCUGCAUCGCCUCGCCACUGCAGGGCACCUGUGCAAGAUGUAACAACCGUUGUCUUUACCCCAGUUUUGGCAUACAUAGUGGACGGCCUUAGUUCUAUUAGUUCUAUGUUACUAAAUUUGUGCAUGUACACACCUGUUAGUAUCAAUUUUAUGUCAUCCAAACACUUUCACUAUGCUAUUGCAGUUAUAUUUACCUUCCUCAUAAAAUGUUCAAUUUGUUAUUUAUUGUACAUGAGUAAGAACUUGUAGCAUUGUUGUAGUUAAUUAUAGCUUCUGAUGUUCCAGAAUUUGGAUGUUGUCUCAGUAGCAAUUAAUUCAUUUGCACAUUGAUCUUUUUGAGAAGAUAUGUCAUAAUUAACAUGUUUCUUUAGUUUUUGAAAAUAAGCAUUGGUGAUUUUCUAUGUUGCUAUAAACCCAUUUCCCCUACAAUUGUUACUGAUCUAGUUUUAAAUAUUAUACGAUGAACGGAAGUGUCCUUACUUGGAGUGGGUUGAUCAAGAGUGGCCACGGUCUUUGAAGAUGUUCCUAGCGAAGCUCUAGAGCAUGUAUGAGGAAGAGAACAGAUGUAGGCUUAGAGAAACUGUUGUCAACGUUGAAGAAUAUUUGAAGAUGUGGGAUAAAAAGUUGAAGGUGGAGAAUGAGCUCAGAUUUUUUAAAUCAGACUUUGCUAAGAUGUGUUGGCGAAGGAGCAGGCACUUUCCUAGUUGGCCCGUGCAAAAUAGGUUCUUAUUGAACUGAAAGCAGAGGUGGAUAAGACGAGACUGGAUGAUCUAGAUUAGGGAAAUUAAUAUAUUGUUCUUAUGAAGUUGAACUUGCUAUAUGUUGUACUGUGCUAUUUUCAUGUAGUUAUCUUACUGUGAUGUUAUAAUAUAUUUAUGUGCCUGAUAUGAAAUUGGAAAACAUCGUUCGAUAUGAAAUGUGAAUUUGCGUACUACUGGAAUUAUUAAUUCUAAACUAAUAAACCUGGUAAAUGUGUCAUGGACCUUUGCAAACGGUUCUAGCAGUAAAAGCUCUUGCGAUGGAUAGCCCAAUGCCACAUAGCUUUCUUUAUCAAAUCGUGUGUGAUGUAGUUGAUAAAAGAAAACAGUUAACCAAGGCAGACCGAGUGUGAUAGUUACACCUUUCACACACGAGCCUACACAUAAAACGGUGUGGGAUGUACAUAUGAAUGGAAACGUUUUCCCUGGAUUGAGUGUGCGGGAUGUACAUAAGAACGGAAACGUAUUCCUUGGAUUGGCUGUGUGUGAUAUACAUACCUACAUAAAUGUUUUUCUAGGAUUCACCAUGUGGGAUGUACAUACCUAUGGAAAUGUUUUUCUGGGAUUCACCGUGUGGGAUGUACCUACCUACGGAAAUGUUUUUUUGGGAUUCACCGUAUGGGAUGUACAUACCUACGGAAAUGUUUUUUUGGGAUUCACUCUGUGGGAUGUACGUACCUACGGAAAUGAUUGGGUUUCGAUGUUUCGCCCGAUCGCACAUGGCCCCAACUUGUGUCCCAGGAGGGCCUAUCCCCGACGAUUUCUGGGUCAUGUGCAAAGGACCCCCUAUCGCCCACACUCACUUGGUGACGGUUCCAAAUGCCGUCGCGGAAGGGGUUAAAAACCGUUUGUAUAGCACCGACGCGUACUAGUGUUAGUUAACUGUUUGGUUCAAUUCUGUAAUGCAAUGUUCAAUUAUCGUGGGUGCAUUCUGUUAUUGUAUACUAUGUGAGAAAUAAAACGAAUUUGGCUCUACUAAAUACAUGAGAAACAAAUACAAUUGCUAUAUUUCCAAGUUGUUAAGCAUGUUUAGUUUGUUUAACUCUCUGAUCUUCUAUUAGGAGUAUAUUAUAUUGUGCAAUGUGGUGCUCAGCUAACGUUUGGUUCAUUUGUUGUGGUGUUUAGUUAACUGCUUGGUUCAAUUCUGCAAUGCGAUGUUCAAUUGUUGUGGGUGCAUUCUGUUAUUGUAUGCCAUGUGAGAAAUAAAUCGAAUUUGGCUAUACUAAAUACAUAAGAAACAAAUACAAUUGCUAUAUUUUCAAGUUGUUAAGCAUGCUUGGUUUGGUUAACUGUCGGAUCUUCUAUUAGGAGUAUGUUAUAUUGUGCAAUGUGGUGCUUAGUUAACGUUUAGUUUAUUUGUUGUGGUCUUUAGUUAACUGCACGUGCAUGGUUCGUUGUCUAAUAGCACAUUAUUGUGCAAUUGCAGGAAAGAUUCUAAUAUUUAGGUUUUUAACAAUUUGGUCUUGCACAUGUAGGUCUUGCUGUCAGAGGUUUUGACCCAUUGUUCGACCCUUUUUGCAUAUGGGGAAAUGAGUUUUCCAUGAAUAACAAUCAAGUCAAGAAACUCAGAAAGAUUGUUAGGAUAAAGAAAUUAGCGACAAAAAACAACAAGAUCUUUUCUGCACAAUGAAGAAUACAUCUGUUCACCACAAGAUGGUACUAACUAUUAUACCUUACCUUUAUUUAUUCCUUUGCCCAUUUCCAAUAUAGAGAAGAUAUUUAUGCACAUCCUUGUUUGCAGGCCUUUCCAAAGCAGUUCACUGAUGAUUACCUCUCAAACCACCUCUAUGGUCAGGAGGCGAGGAAAGUUUUCAUACAACACCCACGGUUCAAUAUUGAAGUGUUCCUGGCACUGGCCUAAAGUUGCAAAGACCUUCAACAUGAAUGAAGGUUUAAUAUUCACCUUCUGCUUCAGCAGUUUUCCAGAUGAGAUGCAUAUGUCUAUAUAUCGUCUAUGAUGCUAAUUUUGGAAGGUUCUACAUGUUGCAUGUGAAACUUGGUGCUGGUGUAGUUGUGUAAUGGGGUAGAUGAGUGCUGAAGCUAUAUCAUGUUGUACUCUGAUGUAUUUCAAUUAUGAAAUCCUGCUUCCUUAAUAUGGAAAUGAAAUAUAUUAUGUGCUUAAUAUGAUUGUCAAUUAGAUUAAAAAAUGGAUUAUUAAUAAUAGGGCAAUUAGCCUGCUAACGGCGAAUUAGCCUGUUGAUUGAGUUUUGCUAUUGCAAACGGUUAUUCAGAAAAUACCACAGUUUCUAGGAAUAAACUGUGUUGGAUCAAUGAACAAUCACACACGACCUUCUCUUGAAAACUGUUUGCGUUAGGCCACCUUGCGCAAAUGUUUAUCACAUAAAAACUGUGUGUGAUGGACAACCUUUGCCACACUGUUUCUUCUAUGUACCGUGUGUGAUGCAUUCAGUAACGCAAAUGAUAAAAUUGUUAAUAUCGUGUGCAAUGGCAACGCUAUCACAAAGGAUUUUACGGGGAAAAUUGUGUGUGAUGUACCUGUGAAUGGAAACGUUUUCCUUGAAGCGACUGUGUGGGAUGUACAUACGAACGGAAACAUUUAGCGGGGACUGACUCUAUGGGAUGUACUUGCGACCAAAAACAAUUUCGCCUGUAUAAUUGUAUUUUUAGCUCUACUAUACGUAUUUUUGUAUUUGAGCGCUCGCCUGUCGCACACGACCUCAUUUUGGCGAGCAUGUGUGCCAGGAGGGAAUAUCCCCGACGGUUUCUAGGACGUGUGGGAAGGACGCCCCUAUCGCCGUCACUCACUAGGCGACGGUUCCAAAUGUCGUCACAGAAAAGUGUCAAAAACCGUUUGUAUAGCACCGACGUGUACGAGUGCUGGCUGAUGAUAGUUGUGCCAUAUUGUGUUAAUUUGGUGUAGGCUGGUGUGGUCUGGUUGACGAAACAUUCAUUGUGUCUAUGUUGCUUUCCUAUUAUCUGACUCGGCCAAUGAUAGCAAUACUAGUGUGUUAAUUUGGUGCAGGCUGCUGAAGAUAAGAAGACAAACUCUGAAAAACAGCAAGGCAACCCCAUUGUUUCUUUCCAAUAAAUCUAGGGCAGGUAAUGUGGCAAUAACUCUUGAUUAAUCUGUUCGGUUCCCCUCCUAAUUUAUACUAUGAUGUAAUGGUCGAGAGACUCUCCACUAUCAAUAAUACAAGCCUGCCAAAAUUUCCAUUUGAAUCUAUUCAGUUUCCUCCGUCUCUAAUCCAACCAAAAAAAUAUGUUUGUGAACAAUUACUGGCUGAAGCAACGAUAGAAAUUGUGGAGGAAUCAGUGGUGCACGUUCUUGCGCAACAACAACUGAUCAAUGUUUUCAGAGACAGUGCAGCAAAGAAGGAAGAACUUGCUCACAUGCUUAUGGGCGUCAUCCGCGCCGAGGUUGCAGAUUGUGAGGUUGUAGAUUGUUAUGUUCUAUUCAUUUAUUUGCACUGGCAUCAAUCUUUGAUUGCCCAGUGGAUGUAAUUUCUUGUAAUAUAUGCUGGAUGUGUUAUGUUUUUCCUUGUAUGCCAUACAUUUGCUUAGCGCGUCUCACACUCCAUCCAUGGCUGGUUGCUAGGAAGCCAAAAAAGCAGUGAAAUUAAUAGCUAGCAUGAACGUCAUGGGACCUUUGUGAAGGAUAGCGGCGCACUGCCCUUAAUGCCCCCUAAUGGGAUCACAAGGGCCAAAAUUCUCCUGGGCCUUUGAUUGAUAGGUUUUGGUCCUGUCCAUAAAUGCUCAUCAUAAUGGGGUCAAAGUAUAGCUGGGCCGAAUUCGACUUUGUCUAAUUGGGCCUACAGACAUGUUCGAACUUUAGCGGGCCCAAUAAGUUGAUGGGCCGUAACUAGGCCGAGAGCUCUAUUGGGUCGCUAUAAUUGAAACGAGCCAACACUUAAUGCUUGGCCUAGUUACCUCUUGGGUCGUUAACAUGACGUAAUUGAAGCGGGCAAUAAGUGGGACCAUUCCAUUUCAUGGGCCGUAAUAGGCCAAUACUAAGGUCGGGCUGUAUAUGGCCCAACUGUAUUGAGGGCCUUUAGAAGGCCAAAAGAGACAGCGGGCUGGUAUUAGAUCAUGAAGAGCAUGGGCCGCUAAGAGGCUGAAAGUCGGGUCGGACUGUAUAUGGCCCAACUGUGUUGUGGGCCUUUAGCAGCCCGAAAAAGAAACCGAGCUGGUAUUGGACCAUGAAGAGUAUGGGCCGUUAAGAGGCCAAAACUCAGGUCGGACUGUAAAUGGCCCAACUCUUUAUGGGCCGUUAACAGGCUGAAAGACGCACUGGGCUGGAAAUUAGUCCAACACUUAAAUGGGUCGCUAAAAGGCCAAAAGUCAUACAUCCUAAAAAUUGGCCCAUCCCUUGAAUGGGUUGUUAACAGGACGAAACUAUGUUGGGCUAAUAUUGAGCCAAAAUAUAUAGCAGGCUGUUAAUGUUCUCGAAUUGACAAUGGGUUGCAAUGCUGUCAAAUAGUUAACGGGCCGUUGACGGGCCGAAUUGGCACAUCUCGUAUGGGUCGUGGGCCUAAAUGGAUCAGACACAAGUAGGCCCUAUAAGGGUCGGCCUGCUAAUUUUGACUGGGCCAGCCUCUUUCACCUAAAUGGGCCACUGUUGGGCCUUGCCAUGUGUCGACAUAUCAUAGGCACCUCCUGUGCAAUGGGGGGAUGACAUCUGUCCCAAUGUUGAGCCAACAUGUGGAUCCUCCAGUGAAUGACAAUUUUACACGUGGAAAAUCCCCAUUGGUCUGUGCUGUUAACGGGUUAUCAGAUCCAAACCAAAACCCGACAGCUCAACGGAGACCCGUUACAGUGGAUGCACGUGUCGGUUACCCUUGACAAAAACACUUCCAUGAUGCGCCAUUUAUCGUCAUGGAAGUGGAUACUUCCGUGAUGAUAAUUUCAGUAUUGUCAUGGAACACCUCUAUGACAGCACAAGUAUGACUAUCUUGAUUCUGUCUGAAAAUCGGCAUGGAUGUACAUGCAUGAUAGAAAACAUGACCUACUAUGACAAACACGCAUCAUCAUGAAAGUGUUUUUUGUAGUGGUAGCGGAGACUGGGAUAAGGAUAUGAAGGUGGUGAAGAGGAAUCGAGGGGAUGGUGAUAAUAUCGUGACAAAUAGUGGAAAUGAUUCUCAGGUUGCAGCGAUGGCCUAACUUGACACCUUUGUGGCGAUAAUGGAGGACAACGGCAAUGAUGGGGGUGAGGAGCAUGGCUACGACAGAUUGGGAUCCGCUAUAGUGGCAUAUGAGGUAGUAUGACCGCAGAUGUGUGGAUCAGACCCCACAUUACAUUUGCCCUAACACAUUGUGCAAUACCAUAAUCAUAUUGUCCAAGCACUAGGGUAAGGAAAUGGAGCGGAGGUGACAGAGAGGGAUACAGAAGGUUUGGGAGUAGACAACAAGAAUGACAAAAGCGCGAGAGAGGUGACUAAAAUAAAAGAGGAAAAAGUUAUCAUGUUUGGCCCUGCUCUUUAGUUUAUUUAGGUUUGGCCACUCAACCCCUAAUGUAAUCGGUGUCAGGACUAGAUAUCUAUGAAAGAAACUUCUUUCACAUUAUUUCUUGGAAUGCCUGUUGCCUCAAUGAUAGUGAUAAAUGUGUGGAUGUUUUAUCCGAGUUAACUUCUCAACAUCCAUCAAUUGCACUUCUUCAGGAAAGGAAACUCCAAGACCCACUACUUUGAAAGAAUAGACAAUUCUUACCGCUUUUAUUAGAAUCCUAUGAACAAUUAUCAGCCAUUGGAUUUGCUGGAGGCUUCCUCUCCGCCUCAAAACCCAAACACCUCACUCUAAUCGGUUGCCUGCACCACCAAUUCACACCCUCCUUACACUCACUUGCUUGGCAUGAAAAUCAAACCAAGUGAUCAGAAAUGUGUACGCCCAAUCCUCCAGACCAUAAAAACAAAGGUUCUUGGAAAAAUUUAAAAACAUCCCCCCUCAAUCCACAUCUUUCCUAGUAGUAUGUGACUUUAACCUUAUCUGCUUCGCACAUGAAAAAUAUAACUCCGACUUUCCCUGAUUCGAAGUUGAUUCCUUCAAUGACACCAUUGAUCAAUUGGUUUUCUUAGAAUUACCCAUAACUGAUAGACUUUUCACUUGGUCGAGGAACCGAUAUAACCUAACUACUGAAAGAUUAGAUAGAAUGUCUGUUAACCUCGCUUGGGACAAGAUCUUUGCUAAUACUAACCUCUCCCCCUCACGUGAUUCACCUCAAAUUCUGUCCCACUACUCAUCUCCAUUUCCUCCAAAAAUCCCCUUUGCCCGCCUCUUCCAUUUUUAAAAGUACCUGGCCACAUUUCCAGCCUGUAACAAAAUUUUGGCUGACAUUUGGUGGCCCAUGACCCUCCUGGAAUAUAGGCCUAUACAUGCCUCUAGCGUCACCACUAUUGUCCCAGUUGCCGCCCUCAUUAACAAAUUAAAAGAACAAGUGGGCCUCACAACUUGGGCAAAAAACUAAAGCCCAUCUAUCAUACGAAAAAAUUUAAGCCUGACAUCCAAAUUCUUGACCUUUUAGAGGAAUUUUGUCACUUAUCUCUCUUGGAAAAGGAACUAAGGGCGAUUGUCAUCAUUUGCCUCCAAUGUCCCAUUAGACAAACAAUGCUUUCUAGAAACAAUGCAAAAAAAAUUAGAACCACCAUUGACAAACAUGAAAACACAAGAUUCUUUCAUGCCUCAGUAUGGAUCGCUUGAGGAAAAAUUAAAUUUUAAUUAUCCUAGAUGAAGGCUCUAAUUUUUUCUCCUCGUCCAAGAAGUACAAAAUGCUCAAAAGCUUACCUUAUUGGGAAAAGAAAAAAUGUUGUGUGGAAAUUCGAUCUCUCAUUGCUCUAUGACUCAACUCUACCUCGGUUUCAAAUCUUGGACCCGUCCUUUAUGGAAUAAGUGAUUUAUGACGCCUUCCUGCACAUGAACCUGAUUUUCUGUCCUAGCCAGGAUGGCUUAUGUCCUGCCUCCUUUUUUUGGUACUAGCACUCAAUCAAGCACAUUUUCCUUCCUUUCUUCAGGCCCUCCAUUAUCUCACCAUGGACCUAGAAAGAUUCAAUCGGGUCCUGAUUAUGCUUCUCCAAAAUAAAGAGGCAGACACUACACCAUAUGCCUUUCACCCCAUCUCCCUCCAAAAUUACACGCCCACGCGAUUUCCAAACUGUGAAUCUUCAGCCUAAAAAUUCCUUAAUACCACUACUUAUUUAUAGUGACCAAAUUGGCUUCCUUCAUGGACAAAACAUCACAGAGUUUUUCAUGUUUUAGACCUGCUAAGCACCUACCACUCUUGGAAGGCCACCACUAUUGUGUUCAAAAUAGAUUUCACAAAGGCAUUGGGCUCCAUCUCCUCAGACUAGCUCCUUCCACAUCCGUGGCUUCGCCUCCUCUUGUCACGGAUUUGGGGUACUUUGGACACAUGUAAGACUGGUUCUCCUCUAUGGGGUACCAACCCCUAGAUAAACUACAAAUGUGGACUAAUUCAAGGAGACCCUCUAUCACCUUAACUUUUUUCUAUAAUUGUGGCUGAUAUACUUCAACACAUGGUGCAGAAAGCCUUCUCCCACCACAUAUUUUGCCGCCCACUAAUCAAUGCAAAGCCUCUGGUUAAUUUUCAACAUAUAGAUGAUACAUUGAUUGUUGUGCAUGCCUGCACUGAUGCCGCACACACUCUGAAACAAAUUGUGGACGACUUUUACCUUGCAACUAGCCUCUCUAUCAACUUCAGCAAAAAAAUCAAUUUUGCCAAUCCACUCACACCCUUAUACGGCAUCGCCUAUUACUAAUGCGUUAACCUGCUCUCAAAGGGUCUUCCCACUCAUUUACCUCAGGCUACCACUCUCUCCCACUAAACUGACAACUUCAGCCUUUGAUCCAAUCAUAGACUACUUCCAUAGAUGUCUUCUGGGUUGGGUGGCUAGGAUGCUCUCUAGGGAUGCUAGAUUACACUCCUUUCUUCUAUUCUCAACUCCCUGUUCAUGUAUUUUAUGUCGGUUUUUUAUUUAACAAUUUUAUUUUUGAAAAUUCUUGAUGCCUUGCAUAGAAACUUUUACUUGUCUAAUGAGGAAUCUUGCACGAGAGCAAAAUUUCUUAUAGCUUACAAAAUUUUGUAAGCUAUUUUUUGUUGGCCUUGGCAUUAAAAAUAUAUCAACUCAAAAUAAAUUUUUGAAAAUGAAAUUUUCCUUCAAAUUACUACAACGUCCAGAUAUUCAUUGGGUUCUCUGUUACCUCCAUGUAUACCCUGUGAACAUUGCAGAUAAACCCUCCAACCCUUCCUUCAUUUUGAAGACUAUCAACCACCAACUAUAAGCACUUAUCAACCUCACAUUUGUGAUCAGAAUUAAUGGCCUCUCCACCUUCUUCUCACUAGACUCCUGGUUGUUAAAAACACCUCUACAAAAAACAUCCCCACACCUUUUUUUGCACACUACAAAUGACAAGGUCCGAGUGGCUACUAUUUGGGAAUUUGGCUUAUUGACUAAACUUUGAAGUUGCCUUACUUCUGUUCCCUCUCAUGAAUUGGAUUUUUGUCUCCAUUACGGGAUUUCCACUCUACUAAGCCAAAGGACGAUCGGUCUCUCAUCCACGGUAUGCCCUCCAUGUCUAGGCAUGCCUACGACACCCUCACCCUCAAGUCAGUUGUCGACCCAAACCACGACUUCAUCUGGUAUGUCAAAGUUCUCAUCAAGGUGAAGUUCUUUGGUUGGCUAGUUUUCCGGGAUAGAUUAAACUCCAAGGAGAAUCUUCACCAUAGACAUAUUGUGGACUCGUCUUGGUUCGCUCGAUGCGAUUCCCCUUGUGAAGAUGCUUCCCACACCACCCUUCUCUGCCUUGCCGCCUCUCAAGUGUGGAUUCACCUCAAGCUAAUGCCCCCUCAUCUUUGGAGCUUCUUUGGAAGACCAAUCACCCUCGGGCCUCGACCCCAACAUUUUUCCAUCAGUCGCCCUCACCAUCAUGUGGAAAAUUUGGGACUCUUGCAAUGCUCUUGUCUUCUGGGACGAAAACCACCUCGCAAAGAUGAUUGUCAGGAACAUUAUAUUUGAAUUCUCCUUUUGGAUCUUUAUGUUUAAAGACAUUGCCUUAAGAGAUGUGGCCACGUCAAAAAGAUAGGAAGCUUCCCCCGGGUGACCACUCAAAAAUGGCUUCGUUAAAUAUUAACAAAUUUUUCUAUAGACUUGAGAAAUCAUAACAAAAUUUGACUUGGGACAACCUAUGACUUCAAGUAAUUUCGAACUAAUAGAGUAUGACCUAAAAUGUUGACCUAUAAUUUUCAUGUGUGGAAGUAUUAGUGCACUUUUGCUUAACUAAAAACAUUUAUGUUUCUUCUUAUGGUAUCCUCUAUUAUAUUUAAACACACACACAAAUGCUACUUAUACAUACCAUAAAUUAUUGCAUCAACACUGUCCAUAGAAAAUGUGUAGCCUCCUACGAAUGACCAUAUUGGAUGUUGAUAGGUCAAUCUUUUUCCCCUAGGGUUUCUCUAGGGUCUACCCUGUCCUUCAGCAGCGACACCAAAUUCUACGGGGAAACAACCCCCGAUCGCCUUAUUCUCAUUGGCGUUUGGUGGGGCGAGGGCCAGUGCUAGAGGAACGGUCCUCCAUGGAUCUCCCGAGCAUCUCGGAAAUUAGAGAAGGUUUGAGGGUGGGACAAAUGUCAGAGGAGAAGGAUACACAGAGAAGUGAGAGGCAAUCAUACUGCUGCCGAUCGGGUGGCCAACCUUGGUGAAGUAGGGAGUGCGAAGGCAAGGGAGGCCAAAGAAAAUUGAGAGGAGGAGGAGGAAGAUGUGGACUAGGAACACCAAGGCCCAGAUCCAAAUCUGGAUGAUAUGUUUGAAGGCCUGAAUUUGCAUGGAGAGGAAGAGGAAGACCUAGACUUAUCUAGUGAGGUGGAUGAAUUGAUCAAGGAGGUGAGUUGGUUGGCUCUUUUUAGGGUUCAUACAUUGAGGCCCUUUAGCCAUGCAGCCCUGCUGAACUCUAUGAGAAAUGCGUGGACGUGUGCUUAGGGUGUAACUUUCAACAUCAAGGGACAGAAUUUGUUCCUAGCCCAGUGCCACUGCUUCGGAGAUUGGAAACGGGUGAUGGAAGGGGGACCAUGGCAAUUUCGUAGAGAUCCGGUGGUGAUAGUGGAAAAUGAUGGGUUCACUAAUGUUUCUAACUAUGCACUGGACAUGUUUCCACUAUGGGCAAGAAUUAAAGGUCUGACCGACGGGUUGACUAGGAAGAAGGAGCUCAAUGAGAAAGUGGCAAAGAAUGUAGGACACCCACCUUUUACAGUAGUUGUUAAUGAAGGAAAGAUCAACCCGUCUAAUUAUCUGAGGAUAAAAGUUUUUGUCAAUGUAAAUGAUCCAAUUGUGAGGUUUGUGCCUAUUACUCUUAAAAAGAGAAAGAAGUACCCAGUGUCUUAUGAGAAGCUGCCAGAUUUUUGCUUCUUUUGUGGAUGCAUGGGACAUGUUGUGGAGGAGUGUGGGGAUGGC
rnacentral:lncRNA from 1 species